GGUGAUGCUGUCAGUGAAUACUGCAAAGUUGGGUGUGUAUCCUCUGUGUGCGGUGCUUUAACCACUCUCCAAAACUCUGGUAAAGCUAACUCUCAAAACUCCUUAUCAUUACUAUCAUUUGUUUUAAAAAUAAUAAACAAGAGAACAUAUAUAUGAUACGUUUCAAAUUUUGUUUCGAUAACUAGAUGCAAGUGAAAUCGUGAAUGAAACUGCUGGAAACUGUGCCUUGGCUUGUUCUAAAGUCUGCAACAAGGGUUCGAUGAAUGCAGUUGAAACUGCCUAGACAGCCAUAUCUAUGAAGAUACCACGUACUGCAUAUUUGGAGGUGAAAGGGGUUGACAUCUUUCACGGUGUUGCUUUUGUUGUUUUCAAUAAUUGUCGUAUAUGUGACAAAAAUAUAGAAAGGUUAACAAUCUUUAGAUUGUAUAUGCCUUCUAUUCUCUAUCUUUUUAAACUAAUGGUAUUUGUGUCUUGAUAUUUUCUGCUCAACGACUAUUUUCACUCGCUUUUGCCAUAGUUAAAUUAUACGAAAUAUUACCUAUCACUUUAACUAAAUUAUUUUAUUAAUUUUCACAAGAAAAUUGAAAUCAGUAUGAACAUAUAUAAACAAACAUAGAUUAUGACAAACACUAUGAUCUUUAUUUUUUCCUACAUUUUAUAACUUAGUUUCCAAACAUAUAAAUAUCGUAAAAUAUGCGGAUGCUUAGUAUCGACUACAAAAAAUAAAAUAUAAAUGUAUAACACCAGAAUAUUUGAAGAGUAGAGUAGAUUAAUAUUAAUUUAAUAUCAAAUAACAGUAUCCAAAAUAAAGAAAAUAAAUCCACAUGCAAGAUUAAAUAUCAAAUGGUACUGACUUGGUUUUUCGAUUUUCAUUGUCUUUUAAUCCCUCAUAAUCGCAUUUGAACAUUUAGCUGGAACCCAAGCAUAUUCAACACUAACCACUCGAAAUGUUACCUUUCUUAUUAACUGCUACAAUCCUAGGUGAGAAAGCUUUACUCAACUCAACUUCCUCCAAAAACAAAUAAAACACAAUGUAUAAUAAGAAAAGUGAUUUUUUUUUUAUAUAUAAAAUUAUUAAGAUUUAUGGUUAGUUUGUAUAUAUUCUCUAAAGUUAAAUGGAUUAAUAUUGGUAUUAUUUUUUUAAGAACAGCUAAACAAUUGGACUAUAGUACUAUACACGAAUUAUUUCAAGUAAAUUUUUUUUUUUUUUUACAAAAUAAAACAUUUCCUUUGCUCUUAUUAAUAAUAAAAAAAACAGUGAUAAGAUAAAACCCUCUCUACUCGGUGUUUUUAUGCUUCAUCAGAUACGCAAUCAGUAGUAUCUAAUCAUUUGUGUACCGUUCUUUCAUUUUUUGAGUAUACCCUUUGCCAUAGCUGACAAGAGAAGAACAAAUGAUCUCGAGUUGCCAUGCUAUUUCGACAAGAAACACAGGUCCCCAAAAACCGUAAACGAGCACAUAAGAGUAUUUUUGUGUUGAGUGAACGAACACCAAACUCCCUAGCUUGUGUCAAGCUACAAUGUUUGAAGUUGUUCGGUUAUGGUUCCAAGUAUCCAUUGUUGAAUACUUCGGUUUGAAACUAUCUUCCUUACCACAAUGUUAGCCUUUUCACAAUGCUUUUGCUACAUGUGAAUACAAAGCACAAAGCAUCUUCCAUCGUAUUAAGAAGACCUAUGCGGUGCUGUCUCCUUCCACGAUUUUCACAGCUUACAAUAGGAAACAUAAAAAACAGUAGUGUAUUAUAAUCAUUUUUGUUUUAAUCUUUUAUAGCAGUUACGAAAACUAAACUAUCUUUGUAUGCUAUCAAUGUAGAUAUUUUUUGUAGUCAAACGAACGAAGGCAUUAGUAUUCGAUAUGUAGACUAGAAAAAUCAUUUAACGUAAACUGAAAAGACUAUAUCAAAAAUUGUCAAGUGGUUAGUUUAAAGCUUAUGUAGUUAGUACUUUCAUCAUCUAAAUGAUCUCAUGUCAUGUUAUUAAUCUUAUAUAAUAAGACAAGGUUUCUUCUAACUUUGCCUUACAAAGCGACAUUUGGCGCUCUAUAUUCUUGACAUGUGUCAUUUUCAUUAAUGUCUAAUUUAACAUCUAAAAAAUAUUUUAUUUGUGAUAUUGUGUUGUAAGUUAUAAGAUAUGUAUUGUUUGCUUUUAAAAAAGUGUCAUUGUUGCAAAAAAUUAUUUUCCCUAAUUUUAGUUUCUAUUUAAAUUAAAUAUCAUAUAAACUUAACAUAAAAUGGAGUAGUUAAAUUUUUUUUGGUAUGAUUUUUUUUCCUUAAGAUUUAAAGUUCAAAAAUCACAACAAAAUUUCCUCCUCCUUUUAAAGUAUUUUUUCCUAAAGUUAUUAAUAUGGGUAAUAGAUUAUUUAUAACAUAUUUUUUUAUAAUUUUUGGGAAAUAAGUUUAUAAUAAAAUAAUUAAAGAGAAUUGUUUUUUCUUUACUUUAGCAUGGUGAAAUCUAUGUCUUUUGGAAAUAAAUUUGAUUGAAGUAAUUUAGUAAUUGUCUUCAUUUUUAUGCACUAUCUCAUAUAAUAUUUAUUUGAUGUUUCCAAAUUUUAAUAUAAAGCUAAGUGUAUAGGUUUUAUGAUUAUUUUGUAUUAUGCAGAUUGCUAUCUACUGCAUAAAUUAAUUAAAAUACAUUAUAAAUGAUAUUUUUUUUUACAAAAAAAAAAAAGUUAAAUAUUUUUUUAAUUUGUAUUCAAAAAAUUCCAUCAUCAAUUAAAAUAAGCAUUAGAAUAAUUUUUUGGAAUCAAGUACUUUUUGUUUCUUUUUAAACAGUUAGACCUCAAAUUUUAAAUAAAUUAAAUAUUAUAAUAAUCUAUUGGAUCACAAACUAAAUAUAAUUAUACAUAUAUUGAAAUGAAUUACAAAAUAUUAUUUGAGAUUUUUUGAAAAAUAGAAGAAGUUAUUUGUUAAAGGUUUAAAUUGCAAUUUUUAUUUAUAUAACAAUCAAAACUUUAUUUUACAUAUGCAUGUGUUAUAUCAUAUUUUCUUCAUUCAUACUCAUAAGUAUGAAAACGUAUGUAUAAUAAGGCAUUAGAAAUAAAAAUUGAAAAAAGUAUGUAUAAUCAGGCAUUAGAAAUAAAAAUUGAAACUAUGUUUGAUAUAUAUCAUACUUUCUAAAAUAAAUUAAGAUCAAAUUCUUAAAAUGAUACUUUUAUUGAUUUUCAAUCCAUAUGACAACACAAAAAUAGAAAAAUAAAUUAGUACAUCUAAAAUAUUCAGAUAAAGUAACUAUUUAACCAAAAAAUAUUAUAUUAUUUAAUUUACUAUAAUUUAAUUUAGAAAACAAAAUUUAUUUUAUUUACUAUUAUUAAACAGUUGGGAGAGGAAACACAGUCUAAUAGAAUAUAAUAUCAUAAAAUUUAAUCAAAAAAAUAAUUAUCAUAUUAUUCACAAAUCAUAUAUAUACAUAUUAUGUAUUAUCACAUAUAUAUUAUAUAUAUUUAAUUCACAAUUUAAUAAAAAAACUGAAAAAACAAUUAAACCACAAAACACAUUUAGUCAUAUAAAUUAAACUCACACUUUAAUAUAAAAACUGAAAUAAUAUAAAUUUGCAUUAACUAUAUUUUACAUUGAAUUUUUCAGCACACAGUAAAUUAUAACUGAUUCCCAUAAUUGUUUUAUGAAAUUGUAACUCCCAUCACUUCUCUUCCUAUAUUUAUACUCAUUUUCUCAGUUAUCAUUCCCUCAUUCUCUCAUCCUCUAAUUCUCUCUCUCAAUUAUUAUAUAAAAAAGAGCUUGGUGUUUUUUUUUGUAUGAGUUUUAGAAAACAAUUAAAUAUUCUUUUAUAAAAGCUCAACUGUAAAAAAAUUAGAGACUACAUGAUAUACAUCUUAUGUUAUUAUAAUUUUUGUUUUUUCAAAAUUCAUCUCUAUUUUAUAUUUUAGAUUAUCAUCAUAUAAGUAAUCAUUCCCUCACCCUAUUCAAUUAUAUUCAUGUAUCUUUAAUAUUUUUCUAUUUUUAUGUUGUUUUAUGGCAUAAAAAUCAAUGAAAUGAUCAUUUAAGAAUUUCAUAUAAAUAGUUUUAGAAAGUAUGAUUCAAAUCUAACAUAUUUUUAAAUUUAAUCAUACUUAUAAAUUAAGAAAGUAUGAAACAGAUGUGUAAAAUAAAAUAUUUUGAAGGCUAUAAAAAUAUAAAUUUUGAUUUAAAAAUAUUAGUUCCAAACAUCCUAACAAGAGAAUUAAGUUAAAAAGAUCCAUUUUGUUAUAUAUUUUUGAUGUUUGCAUAGUUUCUUACAUAUAUAUUAUUAUAUGCAUUUUUCUUUUUUAACUAUGAAAUUUCUAAUUAAAUAUUUAAUCGUAACACAUUUUCCAAAUAAUAUUUUCUUACCUCUUUUGUAUUAAAAUAAUUCUUUGUAAUUUAUUUUAAUAUUAUGUAUCAUUAUAAUUAAUUUUUGUGAUCUAAUAAAUUAUUAUAUAAAUAUCGUUAAAAUGUUAAUGAGGGCUAAGUAUUUUUUGAAAACGAAAAAACGUGGUUAAAAACAUUUGGUCUUUCAGUUUUUUUUAAAACAAAAUAUUUUAACUCCUAACGGCUAACUAACCAUAACUUUGAAAUCUUCUUAUACGAUCAUAGUACAAUAGAUGAACUUUACAUUGACCACUAUUUUUGUAUCCAAACAUACAAAGAAAUCAACACUUUGAGAACUUACCUGGUACCAACCUAAUAUAUCUUCUUUCAAAUUUUAAUAUAUUCCAUUUCUUCUCUAAAAUUUUAUUUUUUUAUUAUUUCAUUAUUUUCCUAGAAUUUAUUUAUGUAUAAAUUCCCAUGAUGUUAUUGUUACAUUAUUUAUUUUUUCAUUGAAAAUAGAAUAUAUUAUUUUUUUCUCGGGAAUCGUGGUAGAGAGCAAAACGGCUAUGGUAAAUUGUAUGUGACUUUUCAAUUUAAUUAACAUAACCUAUUUUUAAGAAUGCAUAUGGUUUACUUUUUUAUUGUAUAUGUAAUUAAUAUUAGACUACUUUGAUGCUCUGGAUUAAUAUAAAGUUGUUGACAAAAAAAAAAUUGAAAUAUUAAUGUGUCAUUAUAUAAUACUAUCCUAUAUGAAAUAUUAGAAGAUAUGAUUUUUUGAGAGACCGAAGGAAAAAGUAAUAUGACAUCGAGAAAAACCUAAAGUAGAUUUGUAUAGAUUACAAGUUCAAAUAGUUGUUUGUAGUGAUCUAAGACUAUAAAUCUUACUCUUAGUAUCUUACUGUAGUUGAAUAAAAAAAUUAUUCUAAUGCUUAUUUUAAUUGAUGAUGGAAUUUGUUGAAUACAAAUUAAAAAAUUAUUUCACUUUUUGUUUUUUUUUGUAAAAAAAAAUAUCAUUUAUAAUGUAUUUUAAAUCAUUUAUGCAGUAGAUAGUAAUCUGCAUAAUACAAAAUAAUCAUGAAACAUAUACACUUAGUUUUAUAUUAAAAUUUGGAAAUAUCAAAUAAAUAUUUGAUUAUUUCUAUGAAAUAGUGCAUAAAAAUGAAGAUAAUUACUUAAUUGCUUCAAUCAAAUUGAUUUCCAAAAAAUAUACUAAAAUUUUUAUAAAUAUAAUAUCAAAUUUAUCUCGCGCAUCGCGCGGGUCUACUUCUAGUAUAAUCAUAUGCUGAAACACAUAUAGAGUAUUUCAUUUCUGACGCAUGAAUAAACUUCUUGUUAUAUCCACAGAAAAUACAAAAAUAAGGCAACAGGCAUUUAUUUGGUCCCAAUGUAAUAUUCAAAAAAAAAAAAAUAUAUAUUUGGUUAAAACAAAAAGAAACACAAAACACGUUCUAACAAACUUUUUGGAUGUUUUUGUCUCAUAUUUUUAUUUGCCAUCAUUUAGACAUAACUAGAAACUAGCUCCAACAACCACAAACUAGUUCUUGUUAUCUUUCCAUCUUCAAACUACUCAUACUGAUCUUCUUAAUUCUCUAUUCCAAAUAAAUAACGAGAGAAGUGAUACAAAAUUUAUAGACAUUAUACUCAUAAUAUGAACUCGCAUAUAAACCAAAUUAUAAGAAUAUACAUAAUAAUUACCAGCAUUAUCAAUACGAAAUAGUGAAUAUUAAGUAUCCUAAAUUCAAAUAUUAAGUUAACCAAAAAGAAAAAGAAGAAGAUCCUUUAAAAUUUAUCCUUAUUCAUGUAUCAGAUUGCCAUUAAGAUAAGGUUGGUCCACGCAGCUUGACAGAGUCUAUAUAGAGAGCAUGUGAUAAACAUAUCAUAUGAAGUUUGUGGUUGCCAAUCGCAGAGCAGCUAGUAUUUAAGGGAGCCUUGUUUCAUCACCAAUUCAUCAAUUCAAGCUUAUAACUCUCUACAUAUACAUUUUGCAAUCAAACAACUUAUCAAUCCAAAGAUGGAAGGCAAAACUUUGAUUCUUAGUGUGCUCCUAGUGAGUCUUGUCAUGGCGCAGAUUCAAGUCGAAGCAAAGAGCUGCUGUCCUAACACCACUGGUAGAAACUGUUACAAUGUAUGCCGUCUUACUGGAGCUCCCAGGCCAAUUUGUGCAAAUGGCUGUGGAUGCAAAAUCGUCAAUAGUGGUAGCUGCCCUAACGGAUAUACCCAUGAUGUUCUCGAAAACACAGGUAAAUUAAUUAAUAUAAUGCUUUUAUUAAGUAUGUUAUUUGUUACAAGGAAAAUCAAGAUUUCAUUCUUUCUUUCUUGUUUUAAUUUUUGUCUCAAGGGAAUGCUGUCAGUGAAUACUGCAAAGUUGGGUGUGUAUCCUCUGUGUGCGGUGCUUUAACCACUCUCCAAAACUCUGGUAAAGCAAAUUUUUCAAAACUCCUUAUCAUUACUAUAAUUUGUUUUAAAAAUAAUAAACAAGAGAACAUAUAUAUGAUACGUUUCAAAUUUUGUUUCAAUAACUAGAUGCAAGUGAAAUCGUGAAUCAAGCUGCUGGAAACUGUGCCUUGGCAUGUUCUUCAGUUUGCACUAAGGGUUCGAUGAACGCAGUGGAAACUGCCUAAACAACCAUAUCCAUGAAGAUACCACGUACUGUAUAUGUGGAGGUGAAAGGGGUUGGCAUCUUUCACAGUGUUGCUUUUGUAGUUUUCAAUAAUUGUCAGUGUAUGUGACAAAAAUAUAGAAGAUUAUCAAUCCCUAGAUUGUAUAUGUCUUCUAUUCCCUAUCCUUUUAAAUAAAUAGUAUUUGUGUCUUAAUCUUUUUCGCUCAUCCAUCACUUAACUUAAUUAUUUUAUUCAUUUUCAUAAGAAAAUUGAAAUAUGUAUGACAAACGCUAUAAUCUUUAUUUAUUCCCUACAUUUUUUUUUGUCAAUAUUGGACCACAAUUGGCCGACCCAUAAACCUAAUCCCCACGAAUAUAUAGGAAAAGAGACUCGAUCCUUAGUGUGAUGGUGUUUAUCCAUUAGUGGACUUAUCAUUUGCUAUCAGACUAAAGUCACUUCACUUAUUCCCUAUAUAUUUUAAUUAAAACUUAGUUUCCAAACAUAUACAUAUCGUAAAAUACGCGGAUGCUAAUUAGUAUCGACUACAAAACUAAAACAUAAAUUUAUAACACCAGGAUAUUUGAACAAUAGAGUAGAUUAAUAUUUAAUUUUAUAUCAAAUAACAGUAUCUAAAAUAAAGAAAAUAAAUCCACACGUAAGACUAAAUAUCAAAUGGCACUGUGUUGGUUUUCGAAGCCAUAUCGCAUUUGACAUAAUAUUUUCAUUUGUUUCAUAUACACAAUGAACAAAUUCUCAUAUGUCAAAAUAAUUGAAUGGAGAGUUAUAUUCUUUUUCUGUUUAAAUAAUUUCACCUAUCAUAAUUUCUUAUAUGGUUUCAAAUGUUUUCACACACACUCACAUUUCUUUGCUAAUCACACUUUUUCUCUUCACUUAUGUUAUGUCUAAUCACACUCAUGCUCAUGUUUCACAUUUAUAGAUUCGACAAGAAUCAUAAAUUCGUCCAUGUCAAUGGAUAUAACAAGUCAUUAUGUCAAUGAAAAUUAUAAUUAUUUAAGCACAAAAGCGACUUUAAAAUUCUUUAAAUAUCAAAGUGAAAACAAUAAUUUACAAUUUUGAAAAUUAUAAAUUCCAAAUAUAUAAUUGAUUUUUAAUAAAAGUAAAUUUUUGAUUUUGGAUUAUUUGUGAGUUUUUAAAAUACAAGAUAAAAUAUAUGAUUAUAAAAUAUAUGAUUAUAUAAGUAUAUAUAUAUAUAUAUAUAUCUGUUUAUUUAUCUGAUAUAAAUCAUUAAAAUAUAUAACCAAAUUUGCUUGUAGAAAAGAGCUUUUGAAAUCCAAUAAUUUAGCGCGGUAUGAUACGGUUUUAUCCUUAACCUCACCCAAAAGAACAGUUGCAAAGAACUUGGAUACCGAUAUGUAUUGAGCUUUUUCUUUUCCCGUCAAGCUUAAUUUAUUUCUCAUGGUCAUAUAAAGCAAUGCAUACGUUACAUGCACAUAUUAAUGUAUCUUUGAUAAUAGUUUAUUACAAAGCUUCCCUUUCAACAAUAAUACACAACAAGAAGAAGUUUUUGUUAGCAUUAAAACAAAGAUGAGCUAAAUUGCAUCAUUCAUUGAGCGGUUAAUUACUAUUUCCACUUGUACUCUAAUUUAGGGAUUUCUUUGCCAUGUGUGAAAUAGAUUCCAUCUUCUCUAGCAUCCCAAUAGUUCUUUUUACCAUAAUGAACUAUGAGACCACCACCUUCAUAUGCCAUAAACGAUGCAUGAAACUUGAAAUUAGGCCCUUGCCAUAAGUCACAAUAAAACUCUGAUCUCACAACGCUGUCAUGGAAACUAAAAUCAUAGGUUUCUCCGGUACGCAAGAAAUGGAAACCUAAAUUGUCGUCGUUUGAUACGCAAUGAAUCUUCAAGACGUUGUUUCGACCAAGGGAACUCUUAGAGAAUACUGAGUUUUUCUCAUUCCAUUGAAAUUUUGCGUUAGUCAAUCCUACGCAAAAUCCAAUAGCGAGUAGAAAACAUAAGAGACGAUUCAUUGUUUGACUGUCUGAAUUGGCCUUUCUUCUAUUCUUCUCUUAAAUUUAGAAGUAACAUGUUGUUUUUAUACAAGUGUGUCACAUGUUAUUUAUUAUGAUUUGGUGUUUCUAUUUAUAAACUUGUUAGUUUUACUGAUAAGUUCUUGACAUUUGAUCGCUUCUGCUUUUUGCCCUUAUCGAUUUUGCUGUUUUGUAUCUAUUUUAAGGAUUAAUGCUUUUGAUAGAUUUAUUUUCAACAUGAAUCUUCAUGAUCUUAAUAACCAAUUAUGACCUUCACUCCCAUUAUUAGCAUCAAGUGGUAGCCCGAUACAAUAAAGUACCAUUCUUAUCUCUUGUUAGCAAUUUCGAAAAUGUUCUUCGAGAUUUAGCAAAGAAACUUACCCAAAAGAAGCACUUACAAAAAGUAAGCACCAGCGAUCUAGCCAUAUAUACACAAUUUUUUUUGGUUAAAGAAAAUUUUAUAAUUUAAGUGAAUUAUUAGUUAUAAUUUUUUUGUUGAAGCAUACGGUCGGGUUGAAUGGAACUUCUGGGAAGAGCUUCUGAUACAUGUGGAAUAAAUAACUAAUAAACAAUGCAUCCUCCAAAGCCAAGUAAAGAUAGAUAAGAGGAAUUGAAAAAGAAUCCAAGAGAGUUUUGAGGCAAAGGCUACGAAACGCUUUGACACAUUUGAACUGUCUUCCACGAUGAGAUCAAUGGUAGAAAUGUUGGUCAUUGUCAAGAGACUAGAUGGAGGUCAUGGCCGAAAAUCUCGCUGGCACGAGAAGGGAUAUACACGGAUUAGUGCAUAAGCCAUAACAUGGGAGCUUUUGGUUUUAAAAGCUGGUGAGACCUGUCCUAGAACACCAACUAAUGGCUUUAAAAUUUCCAUAGGGCGAGCUAAGGCUUCUAGGAUCCAGGUUCUAGAAUGGAUAGCAGUAGGGCGGUGGUUGAAGUAGUUAGCUAGAAGCGUUGAUGGGUGAUUUUUGGCCAAGGACCAUAUGCACAUAUUAAUGUACUGUACCUUCCAUAAUAAUUUAUUACAAAGGUUCCUCUUCAACAGUAUUAUCACAACAAUACGAACUUUUUUUGUUAACAUUAAAACAAAGAUAUGCUGAAUUGCAUUAAUCAUUGAGCGGUUAAUUAUUAUUUCCACUUGUAUUCUAAUUUAGGUAUUUCUUUGCCAUGUGUGAAAUAGAUUCCAUCUUCUCCAGAAGAAGAGAACUUGAACCCACCAAUACUAGUAAUGGUUCAUCAACCUGCCAAACGGUUCGAUACAUUCUUUUGCAUUGUUGACAGAUCUUUUUGCUAUUCUAAGUAGCAUGAACCAAAAAAAAAAAAUGAUCUACGACAAAAAAGAGGAGAGUCGUUACGUGACUAUAAGGAACGGUUCAACAAGGAGAAUGUGAAAAUACCUAGUUGCAACAUGAAAAUUGGGUGCCAUUUCGGCUUUCAGAAGAGGUUACUUCAUGAUGGUUGACUUGUACAAAAUACUUAACAAAAUAAUAGUGCAAAACAAUGGAGGAUGUACCCUCGCGGGCAUGUGUGCAGAAAAAGGAGCAUUAGACACAUCAUAUCGACAUCGACACUACUAGUAAAAGAAAAUCCCUAAAGUCAUUUGGCUAUUUGUGGUUGUGCCUUAAUAUUCGUGGCUAUAUCGUCGUAGCUUAAAAAAUUCAUGGCUUUUGUAAUUAAAUCAUCUUAUAGCCACAAAUUUUCACGACUGCCAAGUGGCUAUAGAUAUUUUUUUUAGAGAAAAUUGGGAUUAAUGCCAUGAACAGUAACAAUUUUUAUGUGUAUUGCCAUUUAUUCUAUUGUCUUCUCAUCUCUGUCAUAUAACACAAAACAAUGACAAUUUUACCCUUUUAAGAAUAAACAUCUUAAAUUUAUUUUUUCCAGCGAUGUGUCAGUUUUCUUCCCCACAUUUGACUGUUCACGUUCUGCAACACACAUUUUUCUUCAAUGGACAAACAACUAUUACUAAACAAUUUUUUUCAUUCACAAAUUGCUCACACCAUAUUUUACUUUCGAUCUAGUUCUAUAUUCUCAUAUGGAAGGUGAAGAACAUAGAGUUGAAAUUUCCAGAUUUCCAGAAGACAAAGAUUUUCUCAGCCUGAUACCUAGACAAAAGUUGUUCCCAGAACUCCUCAAUGUAAAUUUCAAUGGACCAGAUCUACUGCACCUAACAUGUCCAUCAACACAGUUGUCCAUAUCUUUUACGAUUUAUCUUUUUUUCUUGUGUUUGUCCUUCACCCAUUUAAGAAAACUUAUGUUAUCUUUACCAGAGUACAAUAACCUACUCACCCCGCUUCGGAGAACACGCAAUAGAGAUGUCAUUCGGUACCCGUCGAAGUAAGUUUUUGAUGGACCAGAUUUACUUCAUAUAUUUUGUCCAACAAAAAUUCUACGAUAUCGUCUAUAAUCAACUUGUCUACUAGUUUGUUUUAUCACUCGUCCAUCAUUCAUGUUGUCUACCUAGCUAGAUCUCCGAUGUCCAUUGUACAUGCAGUGGACGACAAUAUAUAUGUACUCACAAAAACAAGUAUUGUCCGUUAACUAUCCCCAUUUAUUUAUUUAACUUGUCUACAAACAUUUUAUGUUGUCUAGUUGUCCAUCGCAAUCUGGAUCUCCGGUGGACAAAACCGAAGCUAGUUGUCUAUCGAUACAUACCCACCAUUUCCAGAAUAAUUAUCUGUUACUUAUCUUCCAUUAAAACACACUCAUAUUUUAUUUAUUUUCUUUUUGUUUUGCUCUAGAAUCACUCACUUUAUCAAUUAUCUUGUGGGUAUUAGCCUAUAUUGUAUUUAUUAAAUGCUCUCUGUUGCUGCUGAAAAACAUGUCCCAUCUGGUAAUAUUUUUUGAAUCCAACGCAUCCUCUCUUCUGCCAAUAAGGGUAUUUUAGUCAAUUGCUCUUAUAUUAUUUAACCUAAUAUGGCACUACAGAAAAUACUUAAUGCAAAGUGGCAGUUUUAGUUUUUUGAGUUUCAAAAGUGGCAUAGAAUAUAAUAAUCCCUUUUUCUUACUAGUUAAUUUACUGAUCACAUUUUGAUUAUCGUGUAGUAAGGGAUGAAAUAAUGACUCGAGAUGAUAAACCUUACCAAAGACUUCGAAGCGAAUACACUAGCAAUAUAGUCAAUAAAUAAUGAGGACACUCAUCAAAAUUUAAACGAAACUGCAAGUGAGGAGCCAAAAUUCGUCACCAUGACAAGAUGUCCAAUACCUUCUCCCUUUUUAUCGUAUGGCGAUAUUAGGUUUUAAAAAAAAAUUGUAAAUUAUCUUCAAAUAUUGUUUUCUCAUUCCAUUUUAAAUUUGUGUAGGUUUAAAGUGACUUUGUUGAGAAAUAUAUAAUUCAUAACUAUGCACGAUCUCAAUCUCAAGAAAUGAAAUAUUUUCGUUUUCCCAAAUAGAAUUGGUUGGCUAUCACAUCGAUCUGUUAAAUAAAAUUGGUUGGGGCGUCAUAAGCUAUACGAUAUUUAUAUUUUCUUAUACUAUAUGUUGAAAGUGUGUGAUUGUGAAAGGAAAGUAAGAUAAAACAAAAAUACGUGUGAGAGUGCAAUUAUUUCUAUUUAAAGUGUGACAAUACAAUACAAACUAAAAGUGAAAUGAUAAAUAAGCCAAUUAUUUACAAGUGACAUGAACUAUAUAUUCCCAAAAUUGUCAAGUGGUUUUGAGUUUAAAUCGCUUAAUGUAAAUCAGCACUUUCAUCGUUUCAAUGAUCUAAUGUUAUUGGUAAUUUGUUUCUUAAAUUUUAGCACAGCACUCAAAUUAUUAGGUAACAAGCAUUUAUUUGAUCCCCCAUCAUAUUAUUCAAUGCUCUAGUACAUUUGGAUUUGUGUGUCAUAUUUUAAUUUGCCAUCGGUCUAGAUCACAUAACUAGAAACUAGCUCCUACUACAACCACAAGAGUCAAGAGUUAUGUUACAAAAAAAAAAUUUAGUACCACAAACACGUUUUAACAAACUACUAUGUUCUUAUCUUUCCCUCUUCAAACUACUCAUACUCUUCUUAAUUUUUUAUAUAGAGGUUUUAAUUUAUCGAUAAAUUAAUAAUUAUUAAUUUAUCGAUAAAUUAAUAAUUAUUAAUUUAUAGAGAGAUUUUUCUAAUUUGGAAAGUUUUUUCAGAAAAAAUAUUUAAAAAUAAGAUUUAAUCAUGAUAAUUAGUAUUUUAUAUAAUCAAUUACAAAGAAAAUAAUAAUUAUUUUGUCUUGCUAAUAAUUUUUGAUAUAGUAAAAUAUUAGAAAUAAACUCUAACAAAAAUUAAUGUGUCUAUAUAUAUAUAUAUAUUGAAAUUUUACCUAAUUAUUAAUUUAUAAUAUUGAUGGGACUAUAUAUUUACAAAUGAUUUUCAAAAAAAUUAUUAUCUUAUUAUUUUAUCGAAAUAUGUCUAAAAUUACACUUGUCCCAAGUUGGGACCGGAGAAAUUUAUUAAUUUAUAGAGAUUAUUAAUUUAUCGAGUAUUAAUUUAUAGAGGUUUUACUGUAUGUUCUUAUCUUUCCCUCUUCAAACUACUCAUACUCUUCUUAAUUUUUUAUUUAAAUAUUUACACGAGAAGUUAUAUAUACAAACUUUAUAGACCUAUAUAUAAUACUCAUAACAUAAACUCCAACGAAAUUAAUAGUGAAUCCUUAUUAACUAUCCUAGUUAAUUUAAAGCGUUAAUCAAAAGAAAGUAAAAAAAAAAAAUAUAAGAAGAAGAAGAAGAAGAGUUCAAUCAUCCAUUAAGAUGAGGUUGGUCCACGCAGGUACAUAGUCUUUAGAGCAUGUGAUAAACGUAUCAUAUGAAUUCUGUGGUUGCUAAUCAUAGACCAACUUGUAUUUAAGCAAGCCAAGCUUAUAACUCCCCACAUAUACAUUUUGCAUUCAAACAACUGAUCAAUCGAAAGAUGGAAGGCAAAACUGUGAUUUUAAGUGUGCUCAUAGUGAGUCUUGUCAUGACACAGAUUCAAGUCGAAGCAAUGAGUUGUUGCCCAGACAAGACUUCUAGAAACUGUUACAAUGCAUGCCGUCUUAUCGGAACUUACACGGAAGCUUGUGCAAAAGCAUGCGGAUGCAAAAUUGUCGGAGGGUCAACAUGUCCUUCGGGAUAUACACAUGACAUUCUCGAAAACUCUGGUAAUUUAAUUUCAUCUUUUUUUUUUCUUUGUUCUUUCAUUAAGUUUAUAUAUUGUACAAGUUGGACCAAGAUUUUGAUGCAAGUUUAAAAUAUUGUUUUAUGUUUUUUAUUUUAUUUAAGGUGAUGCUGUCAACGAAUACUGCAAGUUGGGUUGUGCAUCCUCUGUGUGUGGUGCCCUAACCACUCUCAAGAACUCCGGUAACGCAAAAAACUUAUUAUGAUUAUUAUUAGAUUUAUAGAAAAAGAGAAAAAACAUAUUAAUUCUAAUAUUGUGUGUGGGUGAUUUAGAUGCAAGUGAAAUUGUGAAUGGAGCAGCUGUACAAUGCACCAAGGCAUGUUCUGAGUUCUGUACCAAGGGCUCAUCCAAUGCAGUUGAAACUGCAUAAGAAGCAUAUACAUGAUCUAUGUGUUUUUGUUUUCCCUGUUUCAAUAAUUAUCGUGUAUGUGGGUUAAAAAAAAUGCUAGACACUUGAGCUAGCUUCUACUAUUUCCAGGUUUUCUAUGUGACGUAGAAGAGGGUUAUUGAUCCUAGAUUGUUAACCUCUUCUACUUGCUAUUAUCUAAAUAAAGAAUGAUAAUGUGUCCUUAUCGGCUAUAGUCAAUACAAACUCUCGCAAAACUGUCAAGACUUACAAAACUUUCAAGACUCUCAAGACUUAGCAAAACUUUCAAGACUUACAAAUCUCAUAAUUAUAGUCGAUCAUUUUGUCAUGAUUGUAUUGAAUAAUAAUCCAAUAGAUUUUAGCCAUAAGGGAACGGUGGAAAUUAGUAUAUUAUAUAAGGGUUAAUACCAAGGACCGAGUGAUUACACCAAAUACUUGGAAGACUAGUUUAAGGCUAAAGCUAAAUUUUGAUUUUGGUGUUUGAGACAGUAACGAACUUAGCAACAAUAAGUAAACGGCAGUAAAAUAUACUAAUUAAUAAAUUGAUAAAUUUGUAAAUUGUGAAUUGGGUCAGAGGGUGUUUUGUAGGGAUUUAGAAAUAAAUAAAAUUCAUUAUCUUAAUUUAAAUUUUACUUAUUUAUUUGAUUACCUCAUUUUUUGUAUGAAUGUAACAUUUAUUCAACAACAAAAAAAAUGUUUUUACAUCAAAUGCAUCUUAGAGAGUAAAACAAUUUCAUGAAAGAUCUACAAAGCUUAAAGGGUUGCAAUAGUUUUUGAGAUGAGAACCAGUAACGUAGUCCACCUUCAUAAACCGGGUUCCCCAAUUGACGUAUUGUGCUGAAUACUCUCCAUGACGUCGUCCGUUACGUUCCCUCCAUAGACUAUGAAUCGUGGCUUGGAAAACGCACCUUAUAGUGAAUGUGUGCAUGCGAGGUUUUGAAGAAUCUAGAAGAAGAGGAGUGAUUGAGCUCCAAGUUGACGUGUAGCUGCUUCAUGUACUUAGUCGAUUUGAUCUACGUGAUAUCCAUUGAACCCAUAUUGAGUUUUUUUUAUCCUUAACUCUAAAUUCAGAAAAAGAAAUAGAAUUCCUUUAUAUAUUGAGAAAAAAAAAAUUCUUUAGAAUUAUAUUUUAAAGAUGAAAAUAGAGAUGAAAUGAAAUAGAUUUUACUCUAAAAUAGAGUUUAUAGAAGAUUGGAGGGUUUGCGAUGAGUACGAUUUGUUGGAAGUUGAUACAUUACUUAAUCCUGCAAAAGAGAAACGAAGAUAAAGGUGAAAUGAUGAUGAAGAGCAGAGACAUGAGUAACAAACUGAUGAAGAAGAAGAUGAAGAGAUGUAACACCGAACCAUUUUUCUUUUGAAUAUAAUUUAACAUUCGAUUCAAAAAAAAAAAAAAAAAAAAAAGAAGACAUGAAGGAUCUCAAAUCAGACCCAAUAAGAAAUGGGUCUCGUAGUUUUUUUUUGUUUUUUUGGGGUCAAACAGGGUCAUGUAGUUUAUGCUUUAGGUUUAAGAUAGAAACAACUAUUAGGUAAUAGAGUAUAAAUAUGUGUAUUGAUAAUUUGUUUCGAAUAUUUUAGGGCACCACAAAAUUAUUAGGCAACAAGCAUUUAUUAAUUCGGUCCCAACAUAUUAUUCAAACCUCCUAUACAAAACCAAAGAGUUGGUUAAAAACAAAAAGUUAUACACAAAACACGUUUGUAACAAACUAUUUGGAUUUUUGUCUCAUAUUUUAAUCUGCUAUCAACCAAUUACGUAACACAAAACAUGUUAAAUUAGGGUUUGUUAUGGGCUUCCAACUCAAAACCAAUUGGCAAUGAGUAGAUAUACCAUAACCCUUUAUAUAUUACUUUAGUCUCAUCAUAUCUUCCGAUGUAGGAUCUUUCUCCACAAAACACGUUCUAACAAACUACGUUUCUUUUCUUUGCUUCUUCACACUACUCAUACUAAUCUUCUUAAUCCUUUGUUCAAAAAUUUUACACGGAGAAGUUAUAUACUAACUUUAUAGACAUAAUAUAUUUAUAAACCAAAUUAUAAGAAGAGAGCGUACAUAAUAAUUACACGGUUAGCAAGAACAAGAUGAUUAAAAUUAUCCUUAGUCUGUCUGAAUAAUAUUGUCAUUAAGAUAAUAUAAGGUUGGUCCAUGCAGCGUGUACAGACAGUCUAUAGAGCAUGCAUGUGAUAAACAUAUCAAACGAAUUUUGUGUGGUUACCAAUCGUAGCCCAACUAGUAUUUAAGGGAGCCUUGUUUCAUCACCAAUUCAUCAAUUCAAGCUUAUAACUCGCCACAUAUCAAACAACUGAUCAACUGAAAGAUGGAAGGCAAAACUUUGAUUCUAAGUGUGCUCGUUAUGAGCCUCUUCAUGGCUCAAAUCCAAGUUGACGCCAAGACCUGCUGUCCUACCACGGGUGCUAGAAAAUCCUAUGAUUAUUGCCGCCCACUCGGACAACCCAGUUCAACAUGUGCAAGCUUCUUUGGCUGCAAAAUCAUUGGUAGUGGUAAUUGUCCUAACGGAUUUACCAACAAUAUUCUCGAAAACACAGGUAAAUUGUGUAAUAUUGUGCUUUAUUAAGUAUUAAAUUUGUUACAAUAUAAAUCAAGAUCUCUUUUCUUUCUUUUGUGUUUUGAUUUUUGUUUCUAGGUGAUGCUUUAUUAAUUUAUUAUAGUUUGAUCGGCUAAUUAUUUGUAUAGAUAUUUUUAUUUGAUUAUAUCACUCAACUAUAUCUCGUGUAGCUAAUAAUUACUUUUCUAAUCUAAAUGUUACUACUUGUUUUAAUUGUGUCCCUCCAUCUUCAUAUCAUUUUACUUAGAAAUUAUAUCUCAUAAAUUUUAUCUACCCUUCAGUUAUGGAAUUUACUCACGACACUUUCUCUUCCUAUAUUAUUGAAUCAACAAAAAUAAUUUAAAUAACAAAGUAUUCAAUCAACAAAAAUACUAAUGUUGGCUUACUUACAUUCACUGUUUUCAUAUCAUUAGUAGUGUACUUCACUAUUUUUAAAAUUUUUUAGGUGAUGGAACAAAGUUUUCAUGAGACAAGCAAAAAGAUUUUUUAAACAAAGUUAAGAAAUUGAAAGAGAUAAAAGAAUAGACAUAAAUAUAAGAUAAAUACCCUCAAAUAGCACUAAACCAAGUAUUAUGGACAAUUAUUGCACACACUCCACAAAUUUCUCAAAAUAGCACUAAUUAACAUGAUUACAAUAUUUUUAAUUAUUUUUUUGAUUUUUUUUUAAUGUUUGAAUGAAAUAUCUUCAUUUAGGGCUUAGUUUUAAUGGGUGUAGGAUUUAGUAUUUAUAGUUUAAGAUUUUACUUUUGAAAGUUUAAUCAUAAAAUAUGAUGCUAAUUUUAGAAUUUUGUAGAGUGUGUUAUAUUUGGAAACAAAAGUUGUUUUGGUGCUAUUAAUGAAAAUUGUCUAUAAUAUCAUUAUAGUUAAUAGCUAGACUUGGAAGGCUCAUUAUUUACGUAUUCAAAGCGGGAUCAAGCCCAAACGUAGUUCGAUCACAAAAAAGCGGGAUCAAGCCCAAAUUUCAUUAUUUGUCGGAAAUUAUGGUGAACAAUGUAGAAAAGAUUAUCCCUCUCUUUGUCGGUAGUCUUCAACUUGUUUUUAUAGCCUCUUUUUUUCUCCUUGAGUAUCAUCACUUGGCCUAUAUUCUAAAAUUUUCUCACAAAAUAACUCCAUAUAUACUAAAUUUAUAAAUCUAAAAAGCAAAUGUAAUCCUUUGACUUGACCAUGGUUAUUGAAAACCCUAAAUAAAAAGGCUUAAAAAUAAAUGCAUUAUAACAUAAUUCUAUUAGUUUACCUUUAACUCCGUGUUGAUCCUUGAAUAUUCAAUUUUCUCGAUUUUUUAUUGGUACUCUAAAAUGUAUCAUCAGACAUCUUUAAAUUUUAGCCCAUCAGUAAUGACUGAUUGUAUCUUCGUCGAUCUAACCGAUUGUAUUUUGGUCGAUCAUUGUCUUCAGAAUAGUCAUUUUGCUUAGAGAAUUCUGAUCCAAGUCAAUCUUCAGAAUAUCAUUUCACACACAAUUAAUCUUCAAGAUAAUGCUUCGACCAUGGAACUUUUGAAGAAUAUAUAGUUUAUCUCAUUCCAUUUUAAUUUUGUGUAGGUUUUAAGUACUUCAUAAGUCUGUGCAAGAUCUUAAUCUCAAGAAAAUAUUUUUCUUUGCCAAAAUCUUUCAUGUGAAAACAUUUUCCAAAGUAGUCCUUAAACUUUAAAUCAUACGUGGAUGAUUUCCAAAACUUCCAAAACUUAAUAGAUUCUCAACAUUAGAAUAUGAGAGUGUGAAAAGAAUAAUUUGCAUAUGAUUGAACAAACGAAACUUGCGUUGAGGAGUUUGCUUUAGACCAUAUAAUGAUAUAUAGACUUCUUCUGUUGGGAUCUCUAAACCAAGCCAACUUUCCAUUAGUAUGAUAUUGUCCGCUUUGGGCUUAUCACUCAAGCCCUCACGGAUUUAUUGGGCUCCUUCCCAAAAGGCCUCAUACUAAUUGGAGUUGGACUUGACUUAUAUAUUAGAAACUUCUCUUUCUAAUCUUCCGAUGUGGGAUAUUGGUUUGUAUUCCAAUACUCCCCCUCAAACCAAUAUUCACUCCCCUAGGUCCACAAUCUUGACCUAGGCUCUGAUACCAAUUGUUGGGAUCUCUAAACCAAGCCAACUUUCCAUUAGUAUGAUAUUGUCCGCUUUGGGCUUAUCACUCAAGCCCUCACGGAUUUAUUGGGCUCCUUCCCAAAAGACCUCAUACUAAUUGGAGUUGGACUUGACUUAUAUAUUAGAAACUUCUCUUUCUAAUCUUCCGAUGUGGGAUAUUGGUUUGUAUUCCAAUAUCUUCUUCUCAAUUGGGUGUGCCUCCCAGUUUUUAGACAAAACAAUGCUUAACAAAGUACGAACCAUCUUCAUCAUUCAUGCCCACAUGAGAGAAACGUUUCACUAUACUACUCUUCAACUUCUACCUUAUAACAAGUGACAUGAACUAUUUGUCAAGUGGUUUUGAGUUUAAAGAUUAUGUAAAUCAUCACUUUCAUCAUCUCAAUAAUAUCUCAUGUUAUUGGUUAUCACAAGCAAAAAUUUGUUUCAAAUAUUUUAGUACACCACUCAAAUUAGGCAAAGAGGAUUAAUUUAUUUGGUCCCAAUAAGCAUCUCCAAUACAAAACAAAAAGUUGGUUAUAAACCAAAUAGAAACACCAAACACGUUCUAAGUUGUAACAAACUAUUUGGAUUUAUCUCAUAUCAUGAUAAGUCAUCUCCAUCAAUCAUCUAGAUAUAACUAGAAGAGAUUUGAUAGAAGAUCGUACAACCACAAAACCGUUGGUUCUAACAAACUACUCAUACUCUUUCUUAAUUCUUAGUUCAAUAUUAUUUUACAUGACAAAGUUUAUAGACAGAAUAAUUAUAAUACAAACUCCCAUAAAUACGUAUGGGAUUAUUAGGGAUUCCCUAUUAAGCUUCAACAUAUUUUGUUUUUGUCUUUUUCCAACAGAACUCAGAAGAAUGAAAAAAGAAUAAGAAGAAGAUUUCAAGUACCCUAUCGAUUAAGAUAAGGUUUGUCCACGCAGACAGUCUAUAGAGAGCAUGUGAUAAUAAACAUAUCAAAGGAAUUUUGUGUGGUUACAAACCGUAGAGCUACUAGUAUUUAAGGGAGCCUUGUUUCAUCACCAAUUCAUCAAUUCAAGCUUAUAACUCUCCACAUACACAUUUUGCAAUCAAACAACUGAUCAAUCCAAAGAUGGAAGGCAAAACGUUGAUUCUAAGUGUUCUCGUAAUGAGCCUCUUCAUGGCACAAAUCCAAGUUUAACCACUCUCCAAAACUCUGGUAAAGCUAACUCUCAAAACUCCUUAUCAUUACUAUCAAUUUUCUUAAAAAAUAAUAAACAAGAGAACAUAUAUAUGAUAUGCUUCAAAUUUUUUUCCGAUAAUUAGAUGCAAGUGAAAUCGUGAAUGAAGCUGUUGGAAACUGUGCCUUGGCUUGUUCUAAAGUCUGCAACAAAGGUUCGAUGAAUGCAGUGGAAACUGCCUAAACAACCUUAUUCACAAAGAUCCGAAGUACAUCAUCUAUGGAGUGUUGUUUUUCAUGUUUUUCAUGAUUUCAUCAAUAAUUGUCGUGUAUGUGGCAAAAAUAUAGAAGGUUAUCGAUCCCUAGAUUGUAUAUGCCUUCUAUUCCCUAUAUUUUCAAUAAUAUGUAAUUGUGUCGUUAUAUUUUUCGUUCAACCAUUAAAGUUGCUUUGUGCUUAGCUAUAUUACAUAGUAUCAACCAUUUUAGCAAACUAUUUGAUUAAUAUUCACAUAAAAAUUCAAUCUAAAAGACGAGACUUAAGUCACCACCUUCAUAUGCCAUAAAUGAUGCAUGAAACAUACCAUAAGUCACGAUAAUUGUUUUCUUAAUCUCACAACAGUAAUAUCAUGGAAACUAAAAUCAAAGGUUUCUCAAAAGAUUGAAGCCUAGAUUGUAAGUCGCAACUAAUUUCCAAGACAAUGCUUCAUUAAACAUGGAAUUCAUAAUAGUCGAGUUGCAGGAAAUAUGGCGAUACAUGCAGAGAAGUUUUAAAAAGAGAUACCGAUUUAUAUAUAAGAAAAUAGAUCAAGAUUACAAUAGUUGAAGCUAGUUAGAGCAGAGAAUACAUGAGAGACAGAUUUCAAAAACCUAAUGUUGAAGCCAAUCAAAGUUGUUGAAAAACAUUUCUGCAAAACACAUUUAUUAUGUACAACAAUGUAACUGCUUCAUUUUGCUAUUAAAAAACUCACUGAACAAUCCGAAAUUAGCUUGUCAUACGAUGGGAAGCUCCAGUAUCCGAGAAUAUACUUUUCUUUUAUAAACUAAAAUAAAAAAGAUAGGUAUAAUUUUCUUGCAUAAUAUAGUUAUCGAACAUGUUUACAUGUAAAAAUUGUCAAGUGGUUUUGAGUUUAAAGCAUUUUUUGUAAACUCAUCAUCUCAAUCAUUUCAUAUUAUUGGUAACUUUCUUUUUCAAAUUAUUAACUCUCAUAUAAUUUUUGUUAACUUUCUUUUUCAAUCAUCUCAAAGUUUAUAGAGAGAGAAUACUUAUAAUACAAACUCUAAUAUAAACCAAAUUAGUAUAAUUAAGAACGUACAUAAUAAUAACACGGUUAGUAAGAACAUAAAGAAUAUAACCAGCAAAACUCAUACGAAAUAUAUAAUAGUGAAUCAAAAGAAUGAAAAAAGAAUAAAAAACAAGAUUUCAGAGCAUUAAGAUUGAAAAAAAAGAAAAGAUAGGGUUGGUCCAACGCAGCAUCGACAGACAUUUAUUUGGCAUUUAUUUGGUCCUUGAUGUAUAUAUUAUUUGGUCCCGACUAUAGAGAGCAUGUGAUAAAUUAGGCAUUUAUUUGGUCCCGACGUAUAUAUAUUAUUUUUUAAAAAAUUAAUGUAAAUUAUAUUCAAAAGAAACUUUUUUUAAACCUCGUGCAUGUUUGUUUGAAAUCUAAAACUGAGAAAGAAAUUUAGAAACCAAAGCUUAAUUUGUAGAGUAAAACCAAAACUACAAGAAAACAUACAUUUAGCAACUGUAGAAUUAGACAUUAAAUAGUCGCUUAAUUGUGUUUUACGACUACUUUAUGUAGUCGAAAAUACUUAGUCGCUAAUAGGAAUAGUCGCUAUAUAGUCGAUAUACGCCCAUACGCACAAGAAAAGAAUAAGUAAUCGUGAGAUUCCAGAGUAUUAUCACAGAGAACUCACCUUCCCGAACCACCAUUGUUCCAUUGCAUCAUACGGUCACCUGUAGCGAGCCCUAGAAGUGAUUUGGUUAUAACUGAUAACUAGAAACACAAAACACGUUCUAACAAACUCUUUGGAUUUUUGCCAUCAUCUAGACAUAACUAGAAGAGAUGUAGUUAUAACUGAUAACUAGAAACUCUUAUCAACCACAAUAAAGAAACACAAAACACGUUGUAACAAACUACAUGUUCUUGCGCUUCUCGAUUCUUACACAAGUUACGUUCUUAUCAUUCCCUCCUCAAUCUACACAUGCACUUUUUCAUUCAUAUAUAUAUUUAAAAUUAUUUACACGAGGAAUGAUACAAAUCUGUAGACAGAAUACUUAUAAUAUAUACGUAUAUAGUUAUAAACCAACUUAGUCUAAGAACGUACAAUAUAUAACCAGGAAAACUCAUACGAAAUUAAUAGUGAAUCCUUAUUAAGCAACACAAAUUAAAGCUUUAACCAAUUUAUAUUUUAAUGGUUAAUCAGAAGAAAAAAAGGAAUAAACAUAUCAAACGAUAAGAUUAGGUUAGUCCACGCAGCAUGGGCAGACAGUCUAUAGAGAGCAAGUGAUAUCAAAUGAAGUUUGUGGUUACCAAACUUAGACCAACUAGUAUAUAAGGGAGCCUUGUUCCAUCACCGAUUCAUCAAUUCAAACUUAUAACUCUCUACAUAUACAUAUUGCAAUCAAACAACCGAUCAAUCCAAAGAUGGAAGGCAAAACAUUGAUUCUAAGUGUUCUCGUUAUGAGCCUCUUCAUGGCACAAAUCCAAGUUGACGCCAAGAGCUGCUGUCCUACCAGCACUGCUAGAAAUAUCUAUAAUAGUUGCCGCGUUGUGGGAGGUUCCAGGCCAACAUGUGCAGGCCUCAGUGGCUGCAAAAUCGUUGAUGGGUCAUGUCCUAAUGGAUAUCCUAAUGAGAAUCUUGAAAACACAAGUAAAUAAAACAUAUUGUGCUUUACUAUGUACGUUAUUUGUCUUAAAGGGAAAAAUCAAGAUUUAAUAAGAAGAAACAGUUAAGACCUAAACAAGCAUUGAUCCAUCUGACUGAGGAAAAAGAAAAGAACCUUGUUGAGUGCAGAGACCGAUGAGGGAGUAACUGGUGAUGACACUGAGACACAAAUCCUUCCUUUUGUGCCAUGAAUUAGGGCUUUCUUCAGGGAAGCUUCGAACCGAGACACACAGAGAGACCCUGAUCAACUAAACCACAAAUAAAACACAUUUAGUUAUAUAUAUAUAUAUAACUGGAGAAAAAAUUAUUUUAAUUAAACCAAAAAUAAAACACAAUUGAUCAUCUUUAUUUAUCUCUCACUUUAAUUUUAAACUGAAAAAUUUAUAUUCAAUUAAAACACAAUUAAUUAGAUCUCUACAUUUAACCCACACUUUAAUAUAAGAACUGAAAUUACAUAAAUUUGCAUUAACUAUAUUUCUCUACUCAAUUUUAUUCAACACAAAAUUAAUAAGAAUUAACUCCCACAAUUGUUGAUUCACUAUCACAUAACAAAAACAUCUAUUUUACUGAAUUUGCAUACAUUUUAUUUAAUUUACUUCCAUCAUUAAAGUGAAAAAAAGAACAGAGUAUUUUAUAAGGUUUCACUAUCUUCUUAUUGGUCUAUUUUCUAUAAAAUGUUUUUUAAAUGAUGUUUUCAACUAAACCAAAAAUAAAACACAUUUAGUUAUAUAUAUUAAACUCACACUUUAAUAUAAAACUAAAGAAAAAAUUAUUUUAAUUUAGCCACAAAUAAAACAAAUGUGAUCAUAUAUAUUUAUCUCACACUUUAAUUUAAAACCAAACGAUAUAUAUUAAUUAAAACCCAAUUAAUUAUAUACAUUUAACUCACACUUUAAUAUAAAAACUGAAAUAAUAUAAACUUGCAUUAACUAUAUUUUUCUACUCAAUUUUAGUCAACACGCAAUAAAUUAGAAUUAACUCCCACAAUUUUUUUCUUCUAAAUUAUAACUCAUCACUUCUCAUCUUAUAAAGGGUUAGUUAAACGCAGUUAAAAGUAAGUACACAAAUAAACCAAAAACAAAAAGGAAGGUAUUGAUAAGUUAAAAUUUAGUUUUUUCAAUGAGAGGGAGGAAAAAUUACUUGGCUAUCCCUAUACUAAUUUAACAAAAACAAAAAUUUUGCAAGGCUGUGAAAGUAUCUUAUUUUCUGGGCAAAUCUCUGACAAGAGGCGCCAACUUGGGGAAAAGUGAUUUAUAUCAACAAAAUGAUGAUGCGCUAUAUAGAUUGCUAUCAGAUAACUAAGUUGCAUAUAUAGAUUGUUAUCGGAUAACUAUGAUGUUAUCAAAUAUAAAUUGUUAGAUAAAAUUGCAUAUAUAGAUUGUUAUCGGAUAACUAAGUUGUUAUCAAAUAUAUAUAUGCUGAUUAAUAAUAUAUAAAGCGAUAAGUCCUAUGUUACGUCGGUAACCCUAUCGUAGUUAAAUUUGUAAAGUCUCUGAUUUAAAUGUUAUCGGAUAACGUGGACGUUAUGGUGGCAAGAUUGCAUGUCCUCGCUGAAUAAACCAAACAUAGUAGUUAAACUUGGUUCAUAUUUUUAGGAGGAUAGGGUUAAAAUUGUCUACAUAAAAAGAAAGCAAAAUAAUGAUUUAUGGAUGUUAGAUUCUUAAUUAAAUGGUCAACUAGGUCUAUGAGUUAUAAUUUCCCUCUUAUAAAUACUCAUUUUCUCAUUCUCUCAUUCCCUCCUCCUCUUCCACUUUCUCUCAAAUCUUCUAUAAUUUUGUUUGUUUUGUUUUGUGUUUUUUUUUGUUGGUUAUCUGUUGUUUGUGGUUGUAUGAGUUGAAAAAUAAAAUUUAAAUACCAUUGUAAAAGUUUAAUCUAAAUUUUAAUUUUAGACACUAUAUGAUAUAUAUUUACAUUGUUGUAUUGAUUUUUUAAGAUUUAUCUCUAUUGUCUAUUAUCUUAUAAUUAAUCUCUCUCACUCUCUCUCUCUCUCUCUCUCUCUCUCUCUCUCUCUCUCUCUCUCUCUCUCUCUCUCUCUCUCUCUCUCUCUCACUACAUUCAUGUAUCUUAAAUAUUUUUCUAUUUUGUGUUAUUAUAUGGAUUGAAAAUCAAUGAAAGUAUCAUUUAAAUAAUUUGAUCUUAAUUUAUUUUAGAAAGUAUGAUAUAUAUCAAACUUAGUUUCAACUUUUAUUUCUAAUGCCUUAUUAUACAUACUUUUUCAAUUUUUAUUUCUAAUGCCUUAUUAUACAUACUUUUCAUACUUAUGAGUAUAAAUGAAGAAAGUAUGAUAUACCACAUAUGUAAAAUAAAAGUUUUGAUUGCUAUAUAAAUAAAAGGUUCAAUUUAAACCUUUAAAAAUAACUUCUUCUAUUUUUUAAAAAAUCUCAAAUAUUUUUUUUGUAAUUCAAUUCAAUAUAUGUAUAAUUAUUUACUUUGUGAUCCAAUAGAUUAUUAUAUAAAAAUUGUUAUAAUAUGUAAUUUAUUUAAAAUUUGAGGUCUAAGUGUUUAAAAGAAACAAAAAGUACUUGAUUUUACAAAUUUGGUCUUUAAAGUUUUAUUUUUUAAAAGUCAUACCGUUCAUAAAAGUUAAAUUUAGUUUAAUUCAUUCAUCAAUUGAGUAGACAGUGAAUUAAUGAGCUUCUAAAAUCCUAUUAAAUUAUGAGAUUUAAUAAGGUAUGAGUUCUACAAUAAUAUCAUAUACACUCUACACUCUUAGUAACUUAACCAUUUGUUCUAAAUAAUAGUCUUUCUUUUCAUAACAAUAUAAAUAUCUACCCCAAGUUAGAAUUUCCUAGAGAGACCGAACAUAAAUUCGAUUUCUUAAGAGCAAUUCAUGAUUGUUGUCAUGUACAUAUAAUUGAUAUAUAACUUCGUUCAUCUUCUUUGUUAAUGUUGAGGUAAACAUGUGAUGCCUUUUUAAUAUAAAUUCAUUUCUUUAGCUUUUAUAGUAAUGUAAAUCUUUAUGUUUGUUCUUAAAUGUUUUCAAUAUUAGUUUUAUUUUUGAACAAAUUCUACAUAAAAAAUUCUUACUAUAUAAAAAAGGAUCUCAUCUACGUAUAUGUGAACAAAUUUGUAUUACUUUGUUUUGAUCUCAUUCGGUUUCAUAUUUUUUAAAUAUAUAUUUUAUUUACUUUUACUGUUUAUAAUGUACACAUAUAUGUUUUAUAUUAACAAUUACUUAUAAACUAUAUAUAUCUUAAUGUAGUUUUCAAUUUAUAUUGCAAAUUAAUAUUUCAUAUACAACCGACGCAUUGCGUGGGUAACUUUCUGAUGAGUUAAUAUAUUUGUGAAUUCGUUUUAAUUACUGAGCCUAAUUGUGUGUUCUGUCGAAGAGUGAGCUAUUUUUUUUCCCUGUGAAGCUUAAUUAGUUUCUUAUGAUCAUAUAAAGCAAUGCGUACAUAAUCACUUUAGUUGUUUUUAUAAUGCUACAUAGACAACAAUUUAUGAGGUUAAAAAUCCAAAAUUUUGAUAAAUUAUUUCAUUUAAUUUACGUUAUAUUUUUUUAUUUUUAAUUGGCACUAGAUAAAGUGUAUUCUUGACUGAAUUUUUAAGUAUUGUUUCUACGUACUCCAUUUUAAGCAUUUGUUUGCCAUGCGUGAAAUAGAUUCAAUCAAAGUUGUGUUUAAAAAAAAAAAAAGAGAUAUCGAUUUAUAUAUAAGAAAACAGAUCAAGAUUACAAUAGUUGAAGCUAGUUAGAGCAGAGAAUACAUGAGAGACAGAUUUCAAAAACCUAAUGUUGAAGCCAAUCAAAGUUGUUGAAAAACAUUUCUGCAAAACACAUUUAUUAUGUACGAAAAUACAACAAUGUAACUGUUUCAUUUUGCUAUUAAAAAACUCACUGAACAAUCCGAAAUUAGCUUGUCAUACGAUGGGAAGCUCCAGUAUCCGAGAAUAUACUUUUCUUUUAUAAACUAAAAUAAAAAAGAUAGGUAUAAUUUUCUUGCAUAAUAUAGUUAUCGAACAUGUUUACAUGUAAAAAUUGUCAAGUGGUUUUGAGUUUAAAGCAUUUUUUGUAAACUCAUCAUCUCAAUCAUCUCAUGUUAUUGGUAACUUUCUUUUUCAAAUUAUUAACUCUCAUAUAAUUUUUGUUAACUUUCUUUUUCAAUCAUCUCAAAGUUUAUAGAGAGAGAAUACUUAUAAUACAAACUCUAAUAUAAACAAAAUUAGUAUAAUUAAGAACGUACAUAAUAAUAACACGGUUAGUAAGAUCAUACAGAAUAUAACCAGCAAAACUCACACGAAAUAUAUAAUAGUGAAUCAAAAGAAUGACAAAAAGAAUAAAAAAAGAUAGGGUUGGACAGACAUUUAUUUGGCAUUUAUUUGGUCCUUGAUGUAUAUAUAUUAUAUGGUCCCGACUAUAGAGAGCAUGUGAUAAAUUUGGCAUUUAUUUUGUCCCGACUAUAUAUUCUAUUUUUUUUUUAAAUAAUAUAAAUUAGAUUCAAAAGAAUUUUUUUUUUACAACUCGUGCAGGUUUGUUUGAAAUCUAAAACUAGGAAGGAAAUUUAGAAAAGAAAGCUUAAUCUGUAGAGUAAAACCAAAACUACAAGAAAACAUGCAUUUAGCGAUUGUAGAAUUAGUCGCUAAAUAAUCCAACAUAAUUGUGUUUUACGACUAUUUACGACUAUGUAAAUAGUUAGUCGCUAAUAGGAAUAGUCGCCAUAUUAUAGUCGUUAUACGCCCAUACGCACAAAAAAAGAAUAAGUAAUCGCGAGAUUCCAGAGCAUUAUCACAGAGAACGCACCUUCCCCAACCACCAUUGUUCCAUUGCAUCAUACGGUCACCUGUAGCGAGCUAACCACGUCCAAAGGCAAACUUUGGUGUGGCGUGGCGGAAACACAGUCCCUUAGACCAAAACACCUCAGCUAUAUAUUACAUUCAAAUCUCCAAUACAAAACAAAAUGUUGAUUAAAACAAAAAGAAUCACAAAAGACGUUCUAUCAAAUUAUAAUUGGAUUUUUUCCAUCAUCUCGACAUAACUAGAAGAGAUUUAGUUAUAACUAAUAACUAGAAACUCCUACCAACCACAAUAAAGAUUUCAACUAUCCUUUAAGAUAAGGUUGGUUUACACAGCAUGGACAGACAGUCUAUAGAGAGUAAGUGAUAUCAAACGAAGUUUGUGGUUACCAAACUUAAACCAACUAGUAUUUAAGGGAGCCUUGUUCCAUUACCAAUUCAUCAAUUCAAACUUAUAACUCUCUACAUAUACAUACUGCAAUCAAACAACCGAUCAAUCAAAAGAUGGAAGGCAAAACUUUGAUUGUAAGUGUUCUCGUUAUGAGCCUCUUCAUGGCACAAAUCCAAGUUGACGCUAAGAGCUGCUGUCCUACCAGCACUGCUAGAAAUAUCUAUAAUACUUGCCGCGUUGUGGGAGGUUCCAGGCCAUCAUGUGCAGGCCUCAGUGGCUGCAAAAUCGUUGAUGGGUCAUGUCCUAACGGAUACACUAACGAGAAUCUUGAAAACACAGGUAAAAAAUACAAUAUUAUGCUUUAUUAUGUACGUUGUGUGUCUAGCUUAUUGUCUUAAAAGAUAAAUCAAGAUUUAAUUGUUUCUUUUGUGUUUUGUCUCAAGGUGAUGUUGUUAGUGGAUACUGCAAGGUUGGAUGUGUAUCCUCUGUGUGCGGUGGUUUAACCACUCUCCAAAACUCUGGUAAAGCUAACUCUCAAAACUCCUUAUCAUUACUAUCAUUUGUUUUUAAAAUAAUAAACAAGAGAACAUAUAUAUGAUAUACAUUUUCAAAUUUUGUUUCGAUAACUAGAUGCAAGUGAAAUCGUGAAUGAAGCUGCUGGAAACUGUGCCUUGGCGUGUUCUAAAGUCUGCAACAAAGGUUCGAUGAAUGCAGUUGGAACUGCCUAGACAACCUUAUUCACAAAGAUACGAAGUACAUCAUCUAUGGAGUGUUGUUUUUCAUGUUUUUCAUGUUUUCAUCAAUAAUUGUCGUGUAUGUGAGAAAAAUGUAGAAGGUUAUCGAUCCCUAGAUUGCAUAUGCCUUCUAUUCCCUAUGUUUUCAAUAAUAUGUAAUUGUGUCGUGAUAUUUUACGUUCAACCAUUGAAGUUACUUUGUGCCUAGCUAUAUUACAUAGUAUCAACCAUUUUACCAAACUAUUUGAUUAAUAUUCACAUAAAAAUUCAAUCUAAAAGACGAGACUGAAAAAAACAUGUUAAAUUCAACGAAUUUAAUUAUGUGUUAUAUGAGUUUUUGCAGGCUAUUUAAGUAAAAAUAUAUAAAAAAAGAUGCAUUGUUUAUAUUUUUUUAAACAUAUCUCUGAUAAAUGAUACAAUAUUCACUAAAAAUAUCUGAUUGAAUCAAUAAACAACAGAUGAUGGUUUUGGUUGGUCAUAUAGCUUACGGUUUUGUGUGUAUCAGAUUUAUCCCUACUAUAGUAAAAGAGAAGUACACAAGGGAUUCGGGUCGGUUUUUUUAAAGAAUUCCGAGUUAAAUUUUCAAUCGGAUAGUUGCCAUUAUUAAACUAAGUAAAAAGACAGCUUAUUUUAAGGAAUUAUGGUAAAAAUUACCUAAAAUAGAUCUCAAUCUUUAGAAAAAUAUUUAAAUAUGUAAAUUAUACCACAAUCUUGUGAUUUUAUUGUUAAUCGAUUCAAAAUUUUAUUAAAUAUCAUAACUAUAAAAUCUUAAUAGUUACGAUUUAGUUAUUUAAAUAUAGAAUAUGAAUUUUUGAAAUAUGUAAAAUUUUAAAUAGAAAAUGCAUGAUUCAAAUAAUAAAAUUACAUAUUCGUUAAAAAUAGGUGGUGUAUAAAAAAUCUAAGAGUGAACAUUUAUUUACCUAAAUAUAUGAAGAUUUAAAAAAAAUAUAUAUAACCAAAAAAGAGAUUGCUAUAUAAAAAGUAAAAAAAAACGUAUUUACUAUUUAAAAAUUAAGUGUAUAUAUAGCAAAAUCUAACACCAUUUUAUAUAUGACAAAAAAAACUCUGCUUUACCGAAUAUAUAACACCAUUUUAAUAUAGUUUCUAAAUUAUUUUCGAAUUUAUAAGAAAAAACAUUAAUACAUAAAUGUAACUAUAGAUCCUAAUUAUUAAAAAAAUCCAAAUACUAAUUAAUCAAUUUUUAUUCAACUCUAGGUUAUUUUAAUACACUUUGCCAAAAAUUUGACACCAAAUAUACAUUUUGAAAUAAUAUAUGUUGAUUAUAAAAUAAACAAAAUAAGAACAAAUACUAUAUAACACGUUAAAUAAAAACCCAAAAUCCUUCACCCUGUAGCGCGGGUCCGAUAACAAAAUUCUGAUACACAAAAUAACAAAACCGAUACUUUUCCUCCGCGAUGUAGCGCGGUUCCGGACCUAGUUGUUUUGUAUUAAAUGAGAUAAUAUAUUUGUGAAUUCGUUUUAAUUACUGAGCCUAAUUGUGUGUUUUGUCGAAGAGUUAACUAUAUGUUUUUCCCUGUGAAGCUUAAUUAGUUUCUUAUGAUCAUAUAAAGCAAUGCGUACAUAAUCGCUUUAGUUGUUUUUAUAAAUGCUACAUAGACAACAAUUUAUGAGGCUAAAAAUACAAGUUUAUGAUAUAUUAUUUCAUUUAAUUUACAUUAUAUUUUUUUUAUUUUUAAUUGGCACUAUAUAAAGUGUGUUCUUGACUAUAUUUUCCUCUAUCAUUGUAUUCAUAACAGUCAUUUUAAGUGCUUUUCAUUCUCUUCCUUUGGAAAUUGUUGACUAGGGUCGUUAGAUAGACUUUAUAAUGCCUAUUGAUUAUUUCGUUGGCUUUGAAAGAACUUGAUAAUUGACUGAUUAGUAAAGGGCUUUGAAAGCAUAACCAAAGUCUUUGUAUGAGUCACUUUUGAUAUUAAUAAAUGAUAAACCAAAAAGAGACAAUCUUAAUUGCCCAAAAUAACUUGUGUCAUGCUAGAGAAGAGGACUCUCAUUAUCUCUUGUUCGGAUACAUAAGUGAGAUCUCCCGCCUUGUCGAUAGAUCCCCUGUUUUGAUUCCGCCUCUACAUUACUUAGACAACCAUAUCCAUGACGAUACGAUCUAUGUACAUCAUCUUGGUCUGUUGUUUUUCAGGAUUUAAAUCACUGUCAUGUAUGUGACAAAAAAUGUAGAAGGUUAUCGAUCCUUAGAUUUUAUAUGCCUUCUAUUCCCUAUAAUAUUCUAAUUAGUAAUUGUGUCGUGCUAUAUGCUUUCACUCAACGACCAUUCUAGUCGCUCUGAUCUGCUUUACUAAAUUAUACAAAAUAUUAUCCAACUCUUAAACUCAAUUAUUUUAGAAGAAAUUUGCCACAAUAGUACGUUUUUAAAAAUAAGUAAUAUAUGGGUAUAUAUAUGUCAGUGAAACAAACUUACAACAAAGGUUAAUAAGUUUUUGCAAACAUUAAAACAGUGUGAGAACCUAGUUUGCAAGUCAUUGAAGUGCACUUAUUUUUUCGGUCAAGGGUUUUGAGAUAAUUAAGUGUGUUUAUAUUGGAAUAGUCUUACGAUGGAUAGCUUUCAGGGCAAGGGUCUUUAUGUAAAUUUAAGCAUUUGUUUUUUACGUAAAUUUCAUCAUUUACUGAGUUGAGUGGUUAAGUAUUGUUUCUACGUACUCCAACUUAAGCAUUUGUUUGCCUAGAUUGUAAGUCGCAACUAAUUUUCAAGACAAUGCUUCAUUAAACAUGGAAUUCAUAAUAGUCGAGUUGCAGGAAAUAUGGCGAUACAUGCAGAGAAGAUUAAAAAAAAAUUACAUCCGUAAAGUAUAGACACUGUCACAGUCUUUCCAGGCUCAAAUCAAAGUUGUAUUUUUUUUUUAAAAAGAGAUACCGAUUUAUAUAUAAGAAAACAGAUCAAUAUUACAAUAGUUGAAGGUAGUAAGAACAGAGAAUUCAUGAGAGACAGAUUUCAAAAACCUAAUGUUGAAGCCAAUCAAAGUUGUUGAAAAACAUUUCUGCAAAAUACAUUUGUUAUGUACGAAAAUACAACAAUGAAACUGUUUCAUUUUGCUUAUUACAAAACCCACUGAACAAUCCGAAUUUGGCGUGUUAUUACGAUGGGAAGCUCCAGCAGUAUCCGAGAAAAUACUUUUCUUGUAUAAACUAAACUAAUAUAGUCAUCGAACACGUUUACAUGUAAAAAUUGUCAAGUGGUUUUGAUUAUAAAGCUUUUUUUUUUGUAAACUCAUCAUCUCAAUCAUCUCAUGUUAUUGGUAACUUUUUUUUUUUCAAAUGAUUUAGCAUUUAUUUGGUCCCAACGUGUUAUUCAAAAAAGGAUAGGGUUGGUCCAUGGACAGACAGACUAUAGAGAGCGUGUGAUAAAUUAAGCAUUUAUUUGUAUAUAUAUUAUUCAUUUUUUUUAAAUAAUGUUAAAUUCUAUUCAAAAGAAAUUUUUUACAACUCGUGCAGCGUUUGUUUGAAAUCUAAAACUGAUAAGGCAAUUUGGAAAACAAAGCUUAGUUUGUAUAGUAAAACCAAAACUGAAGCCCGUUGUCGUAGCGCCGGUCUCCAACGAGGCAAAUAGUCGAAUAUAUGUUUCUCAUUUGCAUAUCUAUCCAAGUUAUAAGCAGGGAAGUUGAGUUCGGAUUCUCGCGUGUCUCCUUCCAUUUUGCUCCUUCUAAAUAGUCUAAAUAGCCAUUUGUAGAGAAAUUAGACUUGAAGAUGUUCUUAGCUACUGCUGCCCAAAAUUCACCCCCGUACGCACAAGUAAUCCCGAGAUUCCAGAGCAUUAUCACAGAGAACGCACCUUCCCGAACCACCAUUGUUCCAUUGCAUCAUACGGUCACCUGUAGCGAGCUAACCACGUACAAAGGAAAACUUUGGUGUGGCGUGGCGGAAACACAGUCCCUUAGACCAAAACACCUCAGCUAUAUAUUACAUUCAAAUCUCCAAUACAAAACAAAAAGUUGAUUAAAACAAAAAGAAUCACAAAAGACGUUCUAACAAACUACAAUUGGAUUUUUGCCAUCAUCUAGACAUAACUAGAAGAGAUUUAGUUAUAACUAAUAACUAGAAACUCCUACCAACCACAAUAAAGAUUUCAACUAUCCAUUAAGAUAAGGUUGGUUCACAGUCUAUAGAGAGCAUGUGAUAUCAAACGAAGUUUGUGGUUACCAAACUUAGACGAACUAGUAUAUAAGGGAGCCUUGUUCCAUCACCAAUUCAUCAAUUCAAACUUAUAACUCUCUAAAUAUACAUAUUGCAAUCAAACAACCGAUCAAUCCAAAGAUGGAAGGCAAAACUUUGAUUCUAAGUGUGCUCGUUAUGAGCCUCUUCAUGGCACAAAUCCAAGUUGACGCCAAGGUCUGCUGUCCUACCACCACUGCUCGAAAUGUCUAUAAUUAUUGGGAUAUUAUUUAUCAUAGUAAAUCAUAUCCCACAAUUAUCGUACAUAGACUUAUUUGUUACCUAUUCUGCAAUGUAAAUUAUCUGCAUAUCUUUACUCUUUAGACUAGGUCAUCAAGUCCUUGUAAUAUAUAAGUAUGUAAUGGCCUCUCAAUGAAAUACGCAGAACACAUUCAUUCUCUGUCUGUUUAUGGUAUCAGAGCGGGUCGAAACAGUUUUUUUGAUUUUCUCUUAGUUUCUCUCUGCAACUCGAUCAUGGCUGCAACCAACGAACCAAACACGAACACGAACCCGAUGACCGGCGAGGUGAGACGCAAAAUCUCUCCCUACGACUUGAGUGCUGCGGACAAUCCGGGCGCUGUGAUAUCACUACCUUUGUUGAAAGGACCGAAUUAUGAAGAAUGGGCUUGUGGAUUGAAGACAGCUCUUUGCUCACGAAAGAAGUUUGGAUUUCUCGAUGGCUCCAUUGCUCGUCCUGCUGAUGGAUCUCCUGAUCUGGAAGAUUGGCUAACCAUUCAAGCCUUGCUCGUAUCAUGGAUUCGCAUGACAAUUGAUCCUUUGCUGCGGUCCAACGUUUCUCAUCGUGAUGUGGCUAAGGACUUGUGGGAUCACUUGAAGAAACGAUUUUCGGUGACUAAUGGACCACGGAUUCAGCAAUUGAAGGCAGAGCUCGCCUGUUGCAAGCAAAGAGGUCUCGCCAUUGACGCGUAUUACGGAAAAUUGAAUCGCAUUUGGGAUAACAUGGCGCAUCACAGACCUUUGCGUGUUUGUAAAUGCGGUAAGUGUGAGUGUAAUCUCACUGUGCUUCAAGAACAAGAUCGUGAGGAGGAUAAGGUUCAUGAUUUUUUGGCUGGUCUUGAUGAUGCAUUCAAGACAGUUCGAUCCAGCCUCGUGUCUCGUCUACCCAUUCCGUCCAUGGAGGAGGUGUAUAAUGUUGUUCGUCAAGAGGAGGAUUUGAAGACAAAUGUCAAACAAAGUGAAGAAGUUGCUGAAGUCACAGCAUAUGCGGUACAACAACGACAUCGCACCAACCCCUCUGCUCGUUCUGAUGACGCUCAACCAGUGUGCAAGCACUGCAGUCGAACUGGUCACUCCUCCGAUAGCUGCUUUGCGGUUGUCGGGUAUCCGGAGUGGUGGGGUGAUCGUCCAAGGAGCAGAACGGUUCAAGGUCGUGGACGUGGACAAUCUGCUGGACGUGGUCGUGCCUAUGCAAACGUAGUUCAUGUUCCUAAUGUGACGCCUCAGGAACAUGCAAAUUAUGUGAUCACGGACAAAGAUCGUGAUGGAGUGACUGGUUUAAAUGAGCUUGAGUGGCAGAACCUGAAGAAGCUUUUAAAUGGUGGUGCAAGCACAAGUCAUGAAAAGCUUUCUGGUAAGUGUUUUUCUCCUUCUUGGAUAUUAGAUACAGGAGCUUCACAUCAUCUAACAAGUAAUUACAAAACUCUUACCAAUGUAAGAGAAAUGGAACCUGUAUUGGUGAUUUUAGCGGAUGGUCGUGAACGCAUAUCAUGUCAAGAGGGGACUGUUGUAUUGGGUAGCAAUCUGGUCUUGAAAUCAGUGUUUUUUGUGGAAGAGUUGCAAAGUGAUCUUAUUUCAGUGGGGCAGUUAUUGGAUGAGAAUAAUUGUAUUGUACAAUUAGCUGAUCAGUUCCUUGUGAUUCAGGACCGCGCUUCGCGGACGAUGAUUGGAGCUGGUAAACGAGACAAUGGAACCUACCGUUUUUGCAGAAUGGAGUCGGUAGCGUUAGUCACAACAAAGGAGAUGAAGGCUUAUGAGUUGUGGCAUAAUAGGCUUGGACAUCCAUCUGCGAGAGUAGUUGGUUCACUUCCGCAAGUGUCUGUUUCUGUUGAUUCUGAUUCUUUCAAUAAAGCGUGUGAUGUAUGUUUCCGCGCUAAGAAAACAAGAUCGUGUUUUCCUACUAGUGAUAAUAAAACAACAUCCGUUUUUGAGCUUAUACAUUGCGAUCUUUGGGGUCCGUAUCGAACUCCGUCUUCUUCUGGUGCUCGUUAUUUUCUAACGGUCGUUGAUGAUUUCUCCCGUAGUGUAUGGAUUACUCUUCAACAUGACAAAACUGAGACAUCAUCUAAUCUAAAAAAUCUGAUUGCAAUGGCUGAGAGACAAUUUUCGAAGAAAGUUAAACGCAUCAGAAGUGAUAAUGGGACUGAGUUCACAUGUUUGGGAGCAUUCUUUCGCAGUCAGGGAAUUAUUCAUGAGACAUCUUGUGUAGCAACACCACAACAGAACGCCCGUGUUGAGAGAAAGCAUCGACAUAUUCUCAACGUAGCUCGCGCUUUACGGUUUCAGUCGCAUUUGCCUAUAACCUUCUGGGGAGAAUGUAUUCUCACAGCUGGAUAUUUGAUCAACCGUACUCCGAAUUCAGUGCUUAAUGGGGUCACGCCAUAUGAGAAGUUACAUGGUACUGCUCCAAGUUUUGAUCAUUUAAAGGUGUUUGGGAGUCUUUGUUAUGCGUACAAUCAAACGCAUAAUGGAGAUAAAUUUGAGUCUCGGAGUCGUAAGUGCAUUUUUGUGGGAUAUCCAUACGGGAAGAAGGCAUGGCGACUCUAUGAUCUUGAUACAAAUGUUUUUUUUUGUAUCCAGGGAUGUUCGAUUUUGUGAAACAGAGUUUCCUUAUGAUGAUGCUGCAAUUGAUCGUGGUUCAGUCGAUCCCAACAGAGAAGAAGGAGAGGCAUUAUGGGCUCCUUUCUCCUCUAGCCCAGCUGAAGAUGUUGAUAUACGGCCUUUAUCAUCUCCUACUUCUUCUCUCGGCCCAACACAGAUAGAAAGCCCAUUAACAUCGUCCUCCUCUGCUCUCAAUCCAGUGCUCGACGAUCCUCUUCCGUCUCCCUCACCUUCGAUUACUCCACCUACAUCACCGGUUUCUGCUCCGGUGGUCUCACCUGUCACCUCUCCAUCUUCGUCAGAUGCUGAGGACGAGAACGACCAACUACCAGAGGCGGUUCCUCUUCGCCGUGGUAAUCGACCUCGACAGCCACCAAUCAAAUUCCGUGACUAUCAAACUAAUACAGCUCAGAUAAGGAUGUUGGGUACGUCAAAAUCUUUGUAUCCAAUUCAAAAUUAUGUGAGUUGUGCACGUUUUUCAUCCACUCAUCGUGCCUAUUUGGUGGCCAUUACGGAUGUCUUUGAGCCAAAGACAUAUAAUCAAGCAGUUAAGAGCAAAGUUUGGACAACUGCUAUGGAUUCUGAGGUUCGUGCUUUGGAGGAAAAUCAGACAUGGACGCUUGAGGAUCUCCCUCCUGGCAAGAAAGCAAUAGGAUCGAAAUGGGUUUACAAAGUAAAACACAAUGCAGAUGGGACUGUUGAACGCUACAAAGCGCGUUUGGUAGCUCUUGGUAAUAAACAAAUCGAAGGAGUUGAUUAUGGAGACACGUUUGCACCGGUAGCUCGGAUGCAAACUGUGCGUAUGUUUCUUGAAGUUGCUGCGGGUAACGCUUGGCCAGUCCAUCAGAUGGAUGUCCACAAUGCGUUCCUACACGGGGAUCUCUCUGAGGAGGUCUACAUGAAGCCUCCCCCAGGUUAUUUUACUAAUGGUGAAAAGCUGGUUUGUCGACUUCGGAAGUCUCUCUAUGGUCUUAAACAAGCACCUCGUUGUUGGUUUGAAAAGUUGACAACUGCUCUUCGUGACUAUGGCUUUCUUCAGUCUCUUUCGGAUUACUCCCUCUUUGUUUUUGACAAAGGAGGGAUACGGAUUAACAUAUUGAUCUAUGUUGACGAUAUGAUUUUGUCUAGUAACUCGACUGAGGCGCUUUCUGGUUUCAAAAGCUAUUUGGCGUCGUGUUUUAAAAUGAAAGAUUUAGGCGCUCUUAAGUAUUUUUUGGGCAUCGAAGUCUCGAGAAGUUCACAAGGUUUCUAUUUAAGUCAGCGGAAAUAUGCUCUUGAAAUAGUUGCUGAUGCUGGAUUGCUAGGUUGCAAACCAGACGCCUUUCCUCUAGAACAGCACAACAAGCUUGCGUUGUCUACUUCUUCUCUCUUACCCGAACCGGAGCAGUAUCGUCGUCUGCUAGGUCGUCUCCUAUACUUAGCUGCUACACGGCCGGAUCUCACUUUCAGUGUUCAGUUUCUCGCUCAAUUUAUGAAAGAACCACGCGAGGAUCACUGGGAAGCUGCGCUUCGUGUUGUUCGCUACAUAAAGGGAAAUCCAGGCCAAGGUAUUUUGUUGAGCGCUAAGAGAGAUUUUCAGAUUACAGGCUGGUGUGACUCUGAUUAUUCGACUUGUCCCCUUACAAGAAGGUCAGUUUCUGGUUAUUUUGUUCAAGUGGGCACAUCACCAAUAUCAUGGAAGACGAAGAAACAGAAAACGGUUAGUAUGUCCUCUGCUGAAGCUGAAUAUCGUGCUAUGGCUUUUAUCACAAAGGAACUCAUUUGGCUAAAGAGAGUUCUGUCUGAUCUUGGUGAAACUCACUCUCAACCAAUGCGUCUCUAUUGUGAUAGCAAGUCUGCAAUUCACAUUGCCACGAACCCGGUCUUUCAUGAACGUACGAAGCAUAUCGAGAAUGACUGUCACUUUGUACGUGAUGAGAUCAAAUCUGGUAAUCUUCAUCUACUUCAUGUUCAAAGCAACUCUCAACUAGCGGAUAUUUUCACAAAGCCACUUGGUCGUCAUAGCUUUGAAGAUUUUUGCUCCAAACUGGGCAUUUUGAAUCUCCAUGCUCCAGUUUGAGGGGGGGUAUUGGGAUAUUAUUUAUCAUAGUAAAUCAUAUCCCACAAUUAUCGUACAUAGACUUAUUUGUUACCUAUUCUGCAAUGUAAAUUAUCUGCAUAUCUUUACUCUUUAGACUAGGUCAUCAAGUCCUUGUAAUAUAUAAGUAUGUAAUGGCCUCUCAAUGAAAUACGCAGAACACAUUCAUUCUCUGUCUGUUUAAUAAUACUUGCCGCCUUCCCGGAGCACCCAUGUCAGUAUGUGCUGGCCUCAGUGGCUGCAAAAUCGUUGAUGGGUCAUGUCCUAACGGAUAUCCUAACGAGAAUCUUGAAAACACAGGUAAAAAAAAAACAAUAUUAUGCUUUAGUAUGUACGUUGUGUGUCUAGCUUAUUGUCUUAAAAGAUAAAUCAAGAUUUAAUUGUUUCUUUUGUGUUUUGUCUCAAGGUGAUGUUGUUAGUGAAUACUGCAAGGUUGGAUGUGUAUCCUCUGUGUGCGGUGCUUUAUCCACUCUCCAGAACUCUGGUAAAACAACUCUCGAAACUCUUUUAUCAUUACUAUCAUUUGUUUUAAAAAUAAUAAACAAGAGAACAUAUAUAUGAUACAUUUCAAAUUUUGUUUCGAUAACUAGAUGCAAGUGAAAUCGUGAAUGAAGCUGCUGGAAACUGCGCCUUGGCGUGUUCUAAAGUCUGCACCAAGGGUUCGAUGAAUGCAGUUGGAACCGCCUAGACAACCUUAUUCACAAAGAUACGAAGUACAUCAUCUAUGGAGUGUUGUUUUUUCAUGUUUUCAUCAAUAAUUGUCAGUGUAUGUGACAAAAAUAUAGAAGGUUAUCGAUCCUUAGAUUGCAUAUGCCUUCUAUUACCUAUCUUUUCAAUAAUAUGUAAUUGUGUCGUGAUAUUUUUCGUUCAACCAAUAAAGUUGCUUUUUGCUUAGCUAUAUUACAUAGUAUCAACCAUUUUACCAAACUAUUUGAUUAAUAUCACAUAAAACUAAAUUUAAAAGACGUGACUGAAAAAACAUGUAAAAUUUCAAAAAUGAUGCUUUCGAUGUUGGUCAUAUAGCUUACGGUUUUGUGUGGAUCAGAUUUAUUGUUUUGUAUUAAAGGAGAUAAUAUAUUUGUGAGUUCGUUUCAAUUACUGAGCCUAAUUGUUUGUUUUGUCGAAGCGUUAGCUAUUGUUUUCCCUAAGCUUGAUUAGUUUUUGUAAGAUCAUAUAAAGCAAUGCGUACAUAAUUACUUUAGUUGUUUUUAUAAUGCUACAUAGACAACAAUUUAUGAGGCUAAAAACACAAAUUCAUUAUAAUCUACCUUCAAUUUUGAUGUUUUUUUUUUGGCACUAUAAAGUGUGUUAUCAGUCAUCUUCGAAUUUAGCUCGUUCUUGACUAUAUUUUCCUCGAUCAUUAUCUUCAGAAUAGUCACUUUGCUUAGAGAUUUUUGAUACUAUGUCAAUCUUUGAACUUUUUUUCUUGGUAAUGAUACUGUUCCAAUACAAUACAAACUAAAUGUGAGAAGGAAAAUAAAAUAAGCAUAAAAUUGUCAAGCAGUUAGUUUAAAGCUUAUGUAAUUAGCACUUUCAUCAUCUCAAUGAUCUUCAUGUUAUUGAUAAUCACAUGCAGAAAUUUGUUUAGAAUUGUUAGCACACCACUCAAAUUAUUAGGCAACAAGCAUUUAUUUGGUUCCAACGUAUAUUAUUUAAAUCUCCAAUACAAAACAAAAAGAGCUGCUGCGGUCUUCUUCUUUUUGGUCGGAAAGUGAGACCACAACAAGGGGAUCUUGGAUGUGGAAAAAGUUGCUCAAUUAUAGAACGCAUGCUAAAGCGUUUCACAAAAUGGUAGUUGGAGAUGGUGCUCACACUUCUUUCUGGUAUGAUCACUGGUCUUCUCUGGGCUGUUUCCAUGAUUUGCUUGGGGAUAGAGGAUUUAUUGCUCUCGGUAUUCCUUCCAACGCCACAGUUGCUAUGGUUUUACAAACUCAUACUCGGCGCUCUCACCGAACCGCCUUGUUGAAUCAGAUUGAGCUGGAAGUCGCAAUGCUCCGGGAUCGUGGCCAAGUUUAUUGUCAAGACAAUGCUUUAUGGCGAGCUUCGGAUAACAAGUAUGUGCCUUGGUUCUCCACUGCUGAGACCUGGCAGCAGAUUCGGCGUGUGGGUUUACAAGUGAGUUGGUACAGGGGCAUUUGGUUCUCCAACUCUAUACCGAAAUGUUCUUUCAUCCUUUGGUUAACAGCUCGCAAUAGGCUCACCACCGGGGAUCGCAUGCAGGCUUGGAACAGAGGUGUUAACCCUGCUUGUGUGCUCUGUCGGAAACCUUUGGAGACACUUCCGCAUCUAUUCUUUGGUUGCCCCUACUCUUCACGGAUAUAGCAUGCUCUAACUCACAAAUUGUUGAUGCGGCACUAUUCUAUUUCAUAUACACAAGUCAUCCAUCUGCUCUCGGGUUCUUGUUUUCAAGGUACUACCCGCUACCUCUUGCGUCUUGUCUUCCAAGCAACGGUCCACACACUUUGGAUGGAGCGCAACAGACGUCGACAUGGCGACACACCAAGCACCACUGAUCAGCUCACCCGUUUCUUAGACCGUUUGAUACGUAAUAAACUCCUUUCAAUGCAAGCAACCACAACAAAGUUUGGUGAUGGACUUCAGCUUUGGGUAGCGGGUAGCUAAUCCCCUCCAAAAAUUUCAAAACUUUUAAUGUUUUUUAAAUUAAGUUUUUGAUUUAAGGAUGCAUUUAUUGUAAAAAGGACACUUUUUUGUUUUGAAUAUAUUUUCACAUUCAUGCAAAAAAAAAAAAAACAAAAAGAAACACAAAACACGUUUGUAACAAACUAUUUGGAUUUUUGUGCCAUCAGCUAGACAGUAACUAGAAGAGAUUUGAUUAUUAACUUAUAACCACAAGAGUCAAUAGAGUUGGUUAAAAAAUAAAUUAAGAAACACAAACACACGUUGUAACAAACUACUCAUACAUUUUCUUAAUUCUUAAUUCAAAAUAUUUCCACGAGAAGUGCUACAAACUUAAUAGACAUAUAUAACACUUAUAAUAUAAAUUCAAACGAAAAUAAUAGUGAAUCCCUAUUAAGUAUCCUAAUUAAUUUAAAGCGUUAAUCAAAAGAAAGUAAAAAUGAACAAGAAGAUUUCAUCAAUCCAUCAAGAUAAGGUUUGGUCCACGUCGCAUGUACAGACAGAGUCUAUAGAGAAAAUGUGAUAAACGUAUCAUAUGAAUUCUGUGGUUGCUAAUCAUAGACCAACUAGUAUUUAAGCUUAUAACUCCCCACAUAUACAUUUUGCAUUCAAACAACUGAUCAAUCGAAAGAUGGAAGGCAAAACUGUGAUUUUAAGUGUGCUCAUAGUGAGUCUUGUCAUGGCACAGAUUCAAGUUGAAGGAAAGAGUUGUUGCCCUAACACGAGUGCUAGAAGCUGCUACAAUUUAUGCAUUAUUGCUGAAGCAGGUAGGCAAAUUUCUUGUUAAAUUUAAUUAGUGCCCCAUAUAACUUUUAAAUUUAACCAGUGCCCCAUAUAUAUUUUUAGUCCUAAAUCCACCCUCCAUCUGUACACAAAUCUGUGGAUGCAAAUUUGUAUCGGGAAAAUGUCCUCCAGGAUAUCCACAUGACAUUCUCGAAAACUCUGGUAAUUUAAUUGCAUCUUUUAUUUCUUUGUUAUUUCAUUAUGUUAUAUGUUUUACAAGUUGGACCAAGAUUUUGAUGCAACUUCUAAGAAUUGUUUUAUUAUUUUUUAUUUAAGGUGAUGCUGUCAAUGAAUACUGCAAAUUAGGUUGUGCAUCCUCUGUGUGUGGUGCCUUAACCACUCUCCAGAACUCCGGUAACACAAAAACUCAUUAUUAAUUAUCAAUAUUAUGAUUAGAUUUUUAGAAAAGGAGAAAAACGUAUUAACUAAAAAUAUUGUUUCGAUGAAUUAGAUGCAAGUGAAAUUGUGAAUGGAGCAGCUGUACAAUGCACCAAGGCAUGUUCUGAGUUCUGUACCAAGGGCUCAUCCAAUGCAAUUGAAACUGCUUAAGAAGCAUAUAUCCACGAUCUAUGUUUUCAAUAAUUGUCGUUGUAUAUGACAAAAAAAUGCUAGAAUCUUGAGUAAGCUUCUACUAUUUCCAAGUUUUCUAUGUGACAUAGAAAAAAGUCAUUGAUCCCUAGAUUGUGUACCCCUUCUACUUGCUAUUGUUUAAUAUAAAGAAUAAUAAUUAUGUCUUUAUCGACUAUAAUUAAAACAAACUCUCGCUUUAGCUUAAUUUUCUAACAAUCACUUCAUAUCUUAAAAACAUCAAAUGCCAACUUAGCAAAACUGUCAAGACUUACAAAUCUCGAAUUAAAGAUAUAUAUAAGCAUACGACACCUUGAAUGAACCAUUAAGAAUGCAAUCGAUAGGUUGAAGUAAUGAAAAACUUUAUAGUAUAUCAUUUUGUCAUCAUGAUUACUAGAGUAAUAACUAAUAACCCAAUAGAUUUUGACAACAAGGGAACUGUGAAAUUAUUGUUUUUGAACUUGAAAAUAAAAAUGUAAAGUAAACAGAUAAUUGAACUUAUAAAUUAAAACAUUGGGUAGCAGGGUAUUUCAACGAAUCAAUGACUAACAAAUAAAAACAAUAAAGGAAGGCAAAAAUUCAGGCAAGACGACAUGUUCUUAAACAUGAACAUAAAUUCAGAUUAAUUCUCUGUUAAGACAUUAGUCAUUAAAUUCAACUAUUUAAUUACUAAACUCUCAUUUAUAAUUUUCUAGUCAAAUUCUCUUCAUCAAACAAGUUUAUUUGGUUCACAAGACAUUCUAAAAUUAACUCUCGCAGGUUAGAAUUACAAUGCUCAAUUAACAUUCAUUCAAGCAUUUCAUCGAACAUCUCUAAACCAUAUAAAAGCCAACCAUGUUUAUCGUCGGAUAUGGUUGUCAGAAACGGCUAUGUUUUUCUAUAGAGCAACUGAGAUCAUGAACGUAUAAAACAUCAGUAAAAGUGAUAAGAUUUGAAAUUGUUAACUCCCAAGACGGAAUUUCCGUGAGAUUUACUAACAAUGAAAUAUUCUUUGACAUAUUAUGAUAUGAUAAAAGCUCUAACAUAGUUUCGAACACAUUGACAUGUAAGCUCUUGUCGUAAACGAAAGUCAAAAUAUAAACUUAUUUUUUUGGUAAUACAAAUAUAUUGUUCCAUACAAUACAAACUAAAAGUGACAUGGAAAAUAAAGUGGUUAGUUUAAAGCUUAUGUAAUUAGCACUUUGAUCAUCUCAAUGAUCUUGAUCAUGUGAUCAUGUGAUUGGUAAUCACAUGCAGAAAUUUGUUUCAAAUUUCUAGCACACCACUCAAAUUAUUAGGCAACAACCAUUUAUUUGGUCCCAACAUAUGUUAUUCAAAUCUCCAAUACAAAACAAAAGAGAACAAAAGGAAACACAAAACACGCUGGUAACAAACUAUUUGGAUUUUUGUAUCAUAUUUUAAUUUGCCAUCAGUCUAGACAAUAACUAGAAGAGUUUUGGCUAUAACUUAUAAACCACAAGAGUUAAGAAUUGGUUAAAAAAAUAAAUUAAGUACCACAAAACACGUUGUAACAAACUACUAUGUUCUUAUCUUUCCCUCUUCAAACUAAUCAUACUCUUCUUAAUUUUUAAUUCUUAAUUCAAUAUAUUUACACGAGAAGUGCUACGAACUUAAUAGACAUAUAUAACACUUAUAAUAUAAAUUCAAACGCAAAUAAUAGUGAAUCCCCUAUUAAUUAUCCUAAUUAAUUUAAAGCGUUAAUCAAAAGAAAGUAAAAAUGAACAAGAAGAUUUCAUCAAUCCAUCAAGAUAAGGUUUGGUCCACGUCGCAUGUACAGACAGAGUCUAUAGAGAAAAUGUGAUAAACAUAUCAUAUGAAGUGUGUGGUUGCUAAUCACAGACCAACUUGUAUUUAACCGAGCCUUGUUUCAUCAGUACCAUUUCAUCAAUACAACCUUAUAUAACUCCCCACAUAUACAUUUUGCAUUUAAACAACUGAUCAACAGAAAGAUGGAAGGCAAAACUAUGAUUUUAGGUUUGCUCAUAGUGAGUCUUGUCAUGGCACAGAUACAAGUCGAAGCAAAGAGUUGUUGUCCGAACACGACUGCUAGAAAUUGUUACAAUGUAUGCCGUUUACCUGGAACUCCUAGGCCAACUUGUGCAAGCCUCUGCGGAUGCAAAAUUGUCGAGGGGCCAACAUGUCCUCCAGGACCACGUGACAUUCUCGAAAACUCUGGUAGUUUAGUUUAAUUUUUAUUUCUUUGUUCUUUCAUUAUGUUAUAUCUUUUACAGGUUGGACCAAGAUUUUGAUGCAUGUGUUCAAAAACUGUUUUAUGUUUUUGUAUUUAAGGUGAUGCUUUUAACGAAUACUGCAAGUUGGGUUGUGCAUCAUCUGUGUGUGGUGCCUUAACCACUCUCCAGAAUUCCGGUAAUGCAAAAACUUAUUAAUAUUACUAUUAAAUUUAUAGAAAAAGAGAAAAACAUAUUAAUUCUAAUAUUGUGUGUGGGUGAUUUAGAUGCAAAUGAAGUUGUGAAUGGAGCAGCUGUACAAUGCACCAAGGCAUGUUCUGAGUUAUGUACCAAGGGCUCAUCCAAUGCAGUUGAAACUGUAUAAGAAGCACAUCCAUGAUCUAUGUGUUGUUGUUUUCCCAGUUUUCAAUAAUUUUCGUGUAAGUGACCAAAAAAUGCUAGACACUUGAGCUAGCCUUCUAAAUAAAGAAUAAUAAUGUGACCUUACAUAUAAUAAAAACAAACUCUCACUUUAACUUUAUUUUCUUACAAUCACUUCAUAUCUUGACAAGAUAAAAUGACAACUUAGCAAAACUGUCAAGACAUACAAAUCUCAAAUUAUAUACCUACUAGAAAGUUGCCCACGCGAUGCGUGGGUUAUACAUGAAAUGUUAAUUAAAAAUUAUAUUAAGUUAUAUGUAGUGUAUAAGUGUUAAUAUAUGUUUUGAAAAUAAUUUUAAAACAAAAUAAUAUGUUUAUAUUCAUUAUGUGUAUUACAAAAUAAUAUUAAUUUUUAUGUUUAAAACAAAAUAAUUAACGCACAAACAAAAUUGAACGCGAUUGCAAAAUUAGUAUAAAACAUAUUUUGUGUACAUUGUAAACAUUAAAAAUAAACGAAAAGUAUAUUUGGAAAAUAUAGAACUGAAUGAGAUCUAAACAAAGUAAUACAAAAUUAGCACAUACAAAAUUAUGAGCAUUUGUUACUCACCUUAUAUUUUAUCAUAACCUAAAAGUAACUUAAAUUUUAAAAAUGAUCAAGUUAAACUUUUCAAAAUAUCAAAUUAAAAGAUUUCAUUUGAAACAUAUGAUAUAUUGUUUUCAACUUUAUUUAGAAAAUAUUUUUCAAUUUAGAUUAUAAAAGCAUUUAAACUAUAGUUAUGUAAAAACUAAAAAGAGAGAUCAUAAGCCAAAUAAACAGAAGAAGAUUACAUGAGAAGAAGAACUUUGAUAUUUUUAUAUUCUAUUUGAUUGUAAAUGAAGCUGACAUAGGAGGUAGAUGAGAAUAUAUAUAUAUAUAUAUAUAUAUAUAUAUAUAUAGACUUUUUAAUGUAGCAUUAGUUUAGUUUUAAAAUUACUACUAAAUUUUUUUAAAACAAAUAUGCAUGAAGAUUUACAUUACUAUAAAAGCUAAAUAAAUGAAUCCAAACUAAAAUAGCAUAACAUGUUUACAUCAAAAUUAACAGAGAAGAUGAACAACGACAUAUAUGUACAUGAUGGCGAAUUUUUAGGUUUUUGCCCUUUUCAUUUGAUAAAAAUAAAAUUUUAACUCUGCUUACUAUUAUUAUUUUAUUUAUAAAUAUAAAUUACGAAAUAGAAAGAANNNNNNNNNNNNNNNNNNNNNNNNNNNNNNNNNNNNNNNNNNNNNNNNNNNNNNNNNNNNNNNNNNNNNNNNNNNNNNNNNNNNNNNNNNNNNNNNNNNNGUUACUAAGAGUGUAGAGUGGGGUAUGAUAUUAUUGUGUAAUUAAUACGUUAAUAAUUAUCAUAAUUGUCAUAAUUAAUAUGUUAUUACUUAUCAUAAUUUAAUUAAUGAAUUAAAUUAAAUAUAACUUUCAUAAAAUGUAUGAUCUUUAAAAGAAAAAAUUUAGGUACCAAUUUUUUUGUAAGCAAGUAUAUAUAUUUUUAACACUUUGACUGCAAAUUUUAAAUAAACUAAAUAUUAUAAUUUUUAUAUAAUAGUCUAUUUGAUCUCAAAAACUAAAUAUAAUGACAGAUAUAUUAAAAUGAAUUACAAAAAAUAUUUGAGAUUAAAAAAUAAGAAAACAUUAUUUGAUAAAUGUUUUAAAUCGAAUUUUUUAUUUAUAUAGCAAUCAAAACUGAUAUAUUACAUAUGUGUUGUAUCAAAUUUUCUUGAUUCAUAAAUAUGAAAAUAAAAGUAUAAUAUAAGUAUUUUCGUGAUUGUGCAAGCUAAUUCUAAUUUAUUGUGUGUUGAAUAAAAUUGAGUAGAAAAAUAUAGCUAAUGCAAAUUUAUAUUAUUUCAGUUUUUAUAUUAAAGUGUGAGUUAAGAAUUAUUUGAAUAAGAAAGAGGUAGUAAUAUAUUAUUUUGGAAAUUGUGUUACAAUAAAAUAUUUAAUUAGAUAUUUCAUAAUCAAAAAAGAAAAUGCAUAUAUAAAAAUGGAUCCUUAUAACUUAAUUCUCUUGUUGUACGAUGAUUGGAACUAAUAUAAGAUACUAUGUUAGAUUUGUAUCAUACUUUCUAAAGAUAUUUAUAUCAAAUUCUUAAAAUGAUUAUUUCAUUGAUUUUUUAUGUCACAUAAGAACAUAAAAAUAGAAAAAAAAAAUAAAGAUACAUGAAUAUAAUGGAAGAGAGGGAGUGAAUGUAUUUAUAUGUUGAUAAUCAAAAAUAGAAAAUAGAGAUGAAUUUUCAAGAAAAAAAAAAGAUAAAUUAUAAUAAUGUAAGAUGUAUAUCAAUAUAUCAUAUAGUCUCUAAAAUUUUCUACAGUUGAAAUUUUAUAAUAAUAUUUUUUUAAAAAAACUCAUACAACAAAAAUAAACAAAGCAAAAAAAUUUCAUAAAGAAGCGAAGGAGAGAAUGAGAGAAUGAUAUAAUGAGACAAUGAGAGAAUGAUAUAAUGAGAAAAUGAGUAUAUAUAGGAAGAUAAGUGAUGGGAGUUACAAUUUCAUAAAAAAAUUAUGGGAGUCAAUUAUAAUUGAUUGUGUAUUGAAAAAAUUGAAUGUAAAAUAUAGUUAAUGCAAAUUUAUGUUAUUUCAGUUUUUAUAUUAAAGUGUGAGUUUAAUAUAUAUGAUUAAAUGUGUUUUGUGGUUUCUUUGUUUUUUUCAGUUUUAUAUUAAAGUGUGAAUCAAAUAUAUAAUAUUUUUAAAAGUUACAUGCCAAGUGGACCAAUAAGAAGAUGGUAAAAUCUUAUAUAUAUAUAUAUAUGAUUUGUGAAUAAUAUGAUAGUUAUUCUUUGAUUUAAAUUCAUUAUAUUAUUUUCUCAACUGUUUGAUAAUAGAAAAUUAAAUAAAUUUUGCUUGAUAAUCUCUUUAAUUCUUCUCUUAUAAAUUAAAUUUUAAAAAUUAGAAAUUAUGUUAUAAAUAAUUUAUUACCCAUAUUAAUAACUUUAAAAAUGUAUCUUUAAAGGAGUAGGAAAAAAAAGUUUAAAAAUGUAUCUUUAAAGGAGUAGGAAAAAAAAGUCAUAGCAAUUUUCUUUGAAUAAAAAAUUAUAACAAUUCCAUUUUAUGUUUAGCUUAUAUGAUAUUUAAUUUAAUUAGAAACUAAAAUUAGGAAAAACAUAUUUUUGCAACCAUGACACUUUUUAAAAAGCAAAGCAUACAUAUAACAUAUAACUUACAACACAAUAUCAUAAAAAAAAAUUUUAAAUGUUAGAUUAUAAAUUAAUAAAAAUGACACAUGUCAGAAGCAUAGAGCGACACAUGUCGCGUUGUGAGGCAAAGUUAAGAAGAAACCUUGUCUUAUUAUAUAAGAUUAUAAGCAUAUGACACCUUGUAUGAACCAUUCAGAAUGCAAUCGAUAGGUUGAAGUAAUGCAAUACUUUAUAGUCUAUCAUUUUGUCAUGGAUGAUUGCUAGCGUAAUAACUCAAUAGAUUUUAACCACAAGGAAACGGUGAAAUUCUUGGUAGUAUAAUUAUGGGCCAAAUCCACAAAGGACCGAAUGAUUACACCAAAUACUUAUAAGAGUUAGCAACUUAGCAAAGAUAAAAGUGAAUACAACUAGAUUUUCACCCACGAUAUACCGCGGGACGAUAUUUUAAAACGUUUUUUUAUUAAGUUUGUACUACAGGCUCGCAAAAAAAAAUUGUACUACUAUAUUUGAUUGUUAAUUCUAAGAUUUAACGCGUGGAAUAUUGCAUGAUAAUUUGGUUUUUAUAUAAUGGUAAUUUGAUUAAAUUAAAUAAGUAAGUCUAAUAUUCAAAAUAAUAAAAUGAUGUUGGCAUAACAUCUUUCGUUUAAAUAGUCAAAUUUCAGAUUAAAAUAUUUUAUGAGUUUUACUAUAGUAGAAAACCGUAAAAAAUCUAUAAUCAUAGUUAUGUAAACUAUAACCCGCUCCAUAACAUGUCCCGUGCUAGAAAAUUAUCAAUAAUACUUUAGUACAUACAUUUUUGUAUCGUUUGAGUAAUAUACGUCCUUUUUCAAAAAUUUAAACUGCAACAUAUGCAAAAUAAAAAACAGAUCAAAAUUACAAUAGUUGAAGCUAGUUACAGCAGAGAAUACAUGAGAGACAAAUUUCAAAAACCUAAUGUGGCUUUUCAAAAUUGUUGAAAUACAUUUUUGCAAAACUCAUUGACACACUGAACAAUCCGAAAUUAGCUUGUCAUACGAUGAAACAGUUUCAUUGUUGUAUUUUCUUACAAAAUGAAACAGUUUCGUUGUUGUAUUUUCGUAAAACAAUGAAACUGUUUCAUUUUGCUAUUACAAAACCCACUCAACAAUCCGAAAUUGGCGUAUUAUUACGAUGGGAAGCUCUAGUAUCCGAGAAUAUAAUUCUCUUGAAUAAAGUAAACUAAAAAGAUAAGUUUAGUUUUCUUGCAUAAUAUAGUCAUCGAACACGUUUACAUGUAAAAAUUGUCAAGUGGUUUUGACUUUAUAGCUUUUUUUGUAAACUCAUCAGAUCUCAACCAUCUCAUGUUAUUGGUAACUCUUUUAAUUCAAAUGAUUUAGCAUACCACUCAAAUUAGUAUUUAUUUGGUCCCGACGUAUGAUUCAAAUAUCCAAUAGUACAAAACAAAAAGUUGAUUAUAAGCCAAAAAGAAACACCAAACACGUUGUAACAAACUAUUUGGAUUUAUCUCAUAUUUUUAAUCAGCCAUCAAUCAUCUAGUCGACAUAACUAGAAGAGAUUUGAUAGAAGCUCGUACAACCACAAAACCGUUGGUUAUUCAAAAUAUUUUGUACUCUUUCUUUAUUCAUAACUCAAAAUAUUUACACGAGAACUGAUACGAAGUUUAUAGACAUAAUACUUAUACUAUAAACUCUCAUAUAUACGUAUAUAGUUAUAAACCAAAUUAAUAUAAUUAAGAUGGUACAUAAUAAUAACACGAUUAGUAAGAACAUACAGAAUAUAACCAGCAAAACUCGUAAAUAAUUAAUAGUGAAUCCCUAUUAAGCAACACAGGUUAAGCUUUAACCGAAUCAGAAGAAUGAAAAAAAAAAAAAGAAUAAAAAGAAGAUUUCAACUAUCCCAUUAAGAUAAGGUUGGUCCAUGCAGCUUGUAUAGUCAGUCUAUCGAGCGAACAUGUGAUACCCAUCAUAGACAACCUAGUAUUUAAGGAACCCUUGUUUCAUCACAAAUUCAUCAAUUCAAGCUUAUAUACAUUUUGCAAUCAAACAACUGAUCAAUCGAAAGAUGGAAGGCAAAACUUUGAUUCUAAGUGUUCUCCUAAUGAGCCUUCUCAUGGCACAAAUCCAAGUUGACGCCAAGAGCUGUUGUCCGACCACCACUGCUAGAAAUGUCUAUAAUACUUGCCGUUUAGCCGGAUUAUCCAGAGCAGUAUGUGCAAACCGCAGUGGCUGCAGACUCGUUAAUGGGUCAUGUCCCAACGGAUAUCCUAAAGAGAAUCUUGAAAACACAGGUAAAUCAAAACAUAAUGUGUUUUAUUACGUACGUUGUUUGUCUUACAGGAAAAAUCAAGAUUAAUGGUUUCUUAUAUGUUUUGUCUCAAGGUGAUGCUGUCACUGAAUACUGCAAGGUUGGGUGUGUAUCUUCUGUGUGCGGUGCUUUAGCCACUCUCCAAAACUCUGGUAAAGCUAACUCUCAAAACUCCUUAUCAUUACUAUCAAUUUUCUUAAAAAAUAAUAAACAAGAGAACAUAUAUAUGAUACAUUUCAAAUUUUAUUUCGAUAAAUAGAUGCAAGUGAAAUUGUGAAUGAAGCUGCUGGUAACUGUGCCUUGGCAUGUUCUAAAGUCUGCAACAAAGGUUCGAUGAAUGCAGUUGGAACCGCCUAGACAACCUUAUUCACAAAGAUACGAAGUACAUCAUCUAUGGAGUGUUGUUUUUCAUGUUUUUCAUCAAUAAUUGUGACAAAAGUGUAGAAGAUUAUCGAUCAUAUGCUUUCUAUUCCCUAUCUUUUCAAUAAUAUGUAAUUGUGUCAU
rnacentral:lncRNA from 1 species